rnacentral:lncRNA from 1 species
UGUUGCUCAGAGUGACAUUGACAGACUUGUAGUCCUGUCCUGGCUUCUUGUACUUGUUCGGGCACUUGUUUGCUUAGUGUUCCUCUAAACCACAAGUAAAGUAGUCGUCUCUCUUUUGUCUUUAUUCUUACCCUUCUUCUUGAAGAUAGUAUUCUACUGGACAAAGUUCUUUCCCUUGAACUUGUGGAAAUUCUUCUGCGCCACAUUAGCGUUAGAAGAAAUCUCUGCCCCUUUCACGUGUGAGUUAUUUGCUCUCGAGUUCUGCUCAACACUUAGAUGACCGAUGACAUCCUCAACAGAGAAUUCACGUCUCAAGUGAUUGAGAGAAGUAGCAAAGUUGCUCCAUCCAGGAGGGAGUUUUGCAAUAAUGCAACCUGUGACAAACUUGUCCGGUAACUUACACUUCAAGAGCUCCAGCUCCUUCGUGAUGCACUGUAUCUCAUGAGCCUGGUCUAAUACAGAACCGUUAUCAACCAUCCUGUAAUCAUGGAACUGCUCCAUGGCGCAUAGUUCGCUCCCACUAUUGGUUGCACCGAACUUAGCUUCAAGUGCAUCCCACAAGUUUUUGGCAAUGCACAUAUGGAGACAUGCGUCAACCAAUUUGUCUCUGGUCACAGUAAGAACGGCUCCCACAAAGAUGGUGGUUGCCUCCCUAAAUGCAUUCUCCUGUUCAGGAGCAACUGUUACCGUGAGAGACACACCACCAACCCAGAGCACGUUCAUUGUUGUGAGCCACAAGGUGGUCCUCGUCUGCCAACGCUUAAAAUGUGUCCCGGUAAACUUUUCCGGUUUCAGUGUAGCGGCGAAGCCAUGAGUCGGGAAGUGCCUAAAAUAAGGUUUUUGGAUUGUUGGAAAUAUUAGCACAUUUUCGACUAAUCUAAUCCACGAGGAAACAACAAACAUGGCAAAUACGGUAUGCACCUCGUAUCGAUACCUAAGCAUGUGAGCACGUACCGUACAUAAAACCGAAACAUCUAUGAACAGCAUAUAACGGGGACGGAUCAGGCGCAGUCGUGUCGAGACGCUCCCCAAAAACCUUAUUGCCGUUUCCGGGCAGGAUCUCGAACGACAGGGUUCCGGAAGCACGGGCUCAGGCCCACGCCCGAGUCCGUCAACAGCCAAGCUUCGGCUCAUUCCCGCAACCCGCGCUGUCGUGGCGAGGCGAGGCGGGCAGUGAAGGAGGAGGAGCGCGUGUGUACACUCAAGCUCUCAAUGGCGGGUGGUAGAGCAGCCCUUAUAAAAAGGUCUCACUCUCACUUUAGUAGCAGUAUGGUACUCCCGCCGUCCCGUAAUAUAAGAAAGUUUUCGACACUAUACGAGUACUAAACUUCCCACCACUUGGUAUGCACCUAAAUGGGUCAUAGAGAUUAACCAGGGAUUAUUGUCUUAUAUAAGUCUAAGCCAUCUAUAAUUCAACAGUUUGUACGCCUCAAGUGCGGCAUGAUUGUCCGAAAGGUUGAUUGAUACUCGUCCAUUUUGUUUAUGUUACAAACCGUGAUGAAGGGACGGGCAGGGCCCGUAGGAGGGGCAAGUAGCACCAGAACACGCGGAUCACUUGGUAAGUCCGGUUUUGAUUUAACACUGGGAGGUUCUCUGCAGGUGGUUAUUGCCUAAAUAUCUGCCGUCAGCUCAGUUCCGCACAUUUCUCUCGUGGUAUGUCUCUCUCCGCGAAAGUACCUAGUAAACCUACUAGUCCCGUGCACCAAAGGCCAUGGACUUUUGCAGGUUUUGGUCUGGGUACAGUAGACCGUCAUUUCAAUUUCAGAGAAGGACUGGGGCCAUAGGACAUUAUGUAUGUCCCGAUCUUAAGCGACACUCCGCUGUAUAGAUAACUCAUGGAGUGGCAGAGAUUGCAACAGGGACCGUAGGUAGGAAUGUUCCUUUUCUGUCUUUACCCCGGUCUCACACACCUCGCCCAUGUAUUAAGUGCAACUCCAAUGAGGCGACCCAUUUCGUCCGCUGGUGUCCGUUUGGGUCGGUCCGAACAGAAAAAGCGGCCCAACGCGCUGACCCAAAUGGACGUGCGUCCGCUUGGUGUCCGUAUGGCGACCCAUUCCCGGUCUAAUUUUGAGCCGGAUUUGCGUCGGCGCGGACACGAAACGGACGCGCAUGCGCCUACUCCUCUCCCCGGACCCGCCGGUCGGUGGCAGCCACCACCAUUGCCCCCUAUUUCUCCCAAAAACUCUCCCGCCCGUGCGCUCCCACCCCACACCCGCCAUGGACGACGUCAUCGACCUCGACGCCGCCGGCGGCCUCGCCUCCCUCGCCUCGUCCGGCGCCGCCGCCCCCUCGGGGAAAGGUAAGCCUCGUGCGCCGCGCAAGACCGCCGCCGCGGCCAAGCCAAAGAAGCCGCUGACGCCCGCACAACAGGCAACGGAGUCGGCCAAGAGGAAGGACCGGAGGCACGCCGCGAACGCGAGGGAUGAGGCCGUCGCCGCCACCGCCGCGCAGCAGGAUGUCACCAACGCCCGCGUCACGGCGGUAACGAGGGAGGCGCUCUAUAUGCUAGGGUUAAACCAUGGCCAGCACGGCCUCGUCAACGCCGUCGUCGCCGCGGCCAGCACCGGCUCAUUGGUGUUUCCUCGGAUGGUGCUGCCCGACUCGCCCUGCGCGUCGGCUUGCAACCCGAUGCCCGGGUUCCACAUGUACCCGCAAGCCUCCCGCCUCUCCGGGGAGUGCUCGCCCGACGUGAGCGUGGUCGCGCCUUCCACGCCCGUGCCCAUCGACCUCAACGCCACCACGGUGGCCAGUGGCUCGUCAUCCGGCGGCGUGAGGAAACGCGCGCGGCAGACGCCGGCCGGCGUGAUCCCGGAUGCCGGCAACCUGUUCGAGGGAAUGUCGUCCGCCGUCGACGAGGACUACAUGCAGAACCUCAUCUUCGAGGACGUUGCGCCGGCCGCUGGCUACAAUCACGACGAGACACAAAGCCAGGACGGUCGCGGGCCGUUCAGGCCGGCCGCUGACUAUGAUCCCGACCAGGCGGCCUUCAUGCGUGAUCAGGUCAGCAUCGACCUGAACGGCUUCCCACUCGGCCACGAGUUAUCUGAUGACUACGGGCUAGAGAAAGAGGACGAGUGCGACAUCGGAGUGGAGCCUUUGUUCGAGGACGAGCUCGCCAACCAAGCCGCCGGUCCUAAGCCGAAGCGCAAGAGCAAGCGCACGAAGGCAUACACGGCUGCCGAGGACAAGCUUCUUUGCGAGUGCUGGCGAGACAUUGGACAAGACCCCAAGACGGGCGCCGAACAAAAGCAUUUGGAUUCGUGUCCACCGAGAGUUUCAUGAGCGCAAGAAGUUUUCGCCUUACCAAUUUGUGAGCACGCGCGGGUGGGUGUCCAUUUCCAAGCGAUGGAGGGUGAUCCCACAAGAGUGCAACAAGUUUUGCGCCACUCUUGAGAGCGUCAAGGCCCGCCCCGUGAGCGGCAUCGGCAUGCAAGACAUGGUAUGCUAGCAAGCCACCCUCUUUUGUGUCGUCAAGUUCAUGCUUGCGUGUUCAUUUGCAUAUCAUUUGCCCAUAUGCUUGCAUGGAAACAUUUUGUAUGCAUUUCAAGCUUUGGAGGCAUUCAAGGUUCAACACAAUGACAAGUGCUUCAACCUCUCCCAUUGCUUUCGGGUAAUCAAGGACGAGGAGAAGUUCAAGGUGCAAUAUGCCGCCCUCAAGUCGCGUGGGAGGAAGCAAGUCGUGGAGGAGGUUGGGGAGGGCGAGCCGGCACGGCCGCGGGGGAAGACCAACUCCAAGAAGGAGGACAAGCGGGAUGCGGCAUCCAACGCCUUGAUCGCAAACGUGUAGGGUAUGAUGAACAAGAAGGACUCAAGGGAGGAGGAGCGUUGGCGUUUCAAGGCGGAGCAAAUGGACGCUUUCAUGGAGAUCCAAAGGAGAAGGCUUGAGAUGGACGCGAAGAAGCAAGCCAAGAUGUUCGAGCUAGAGGCGGAGAAGCAAGCCAAGAUGCCAGAGAUCGGGGCAGCCAACGCCAAGACCAAGGCGAAAGAAGUGGCUCUCGCGAGCAUGAUGAUCGGGGUGAAGAUCAUGAAGGUGGAUCUCAACACCGUGUCGCUAAGGAAGAGGCCGUGGUUCGAGAAGAUGCAGACCAACAUGCUCAAGUUCGACGACGAGUGAUCUAUGGCGGCGAUCGCCAUCUUUUUUGUAUGCCGGCAGGUGUGCUGACAUGACCGCGGGGACCACGAUGGCGUGGUCGAACUCAAGUCCCACCCUUUUUUGGGGUGCUGGCAUGUGUGCCGGCCGGUUGGCGAGUGCACCAACAUAAACUGUGGUGAUAUUUUUUUAAGCCGGCAUUGUAUGCCGGCGCUGGCAUGGUGCCGAUAUGGGACAUGGCUGCUGGCAUGAUCGGCCGCGGGCCUUUUUUUAAAGUUAAGUGCGUACAUGAAAUGGGCCGGCGCGUUGGGUGCACUGCCGACCCAAAUACAAAAACAGGACGGACGCCGGACGGGCGGCCAAUCCAAACGAACAAAAAACAGACAAAUGCGUUGUGCGUUUGGGUCGGCCAGUUGGAGUUGCUCUAACAAGAUGCCAAGUCCUCGCAGACCUCGCCCAUGUAUUAACAGUAUCACCGUGUCGGGGUCAGCAUCGCGCUUGCUUGCAUCGUAUACAUUGCCAACCGUGAUGGUACAUAUGAUAUGAAUAGCAGUGUAAUCAGUGCUAGAACGAAGCGUCAUGGGCUGGUCAUGGAGGCUCUCGCGCCGACCGGCGCAGCGCGCACACGGCGACACGAUGCGAGUUGCCAUUGAUUGGGCCUGCGUGUACCAGAAGGGGCGGAUUCGGCAAGCCAGCCGUCGGCCGUCACGAUGGGGCGCUCCCUCCGGUGGCACAUGAACGAAUGAAUGAAUGAAUCUGUCGGGCGCGCGGUCUCUGUCGCGGGGUGGCUCAUCUCAUCUCGCCGCGCGUGUUCGGCGGCGGACAAGCGCCAACCCCGAUCCGACGCUGCGGGCGCAGCCACGCGCGCUACGAGUUUGGGUGGUGAUGGUGCCGAGGCUCGAUCCGUCUGGUUGCGGCGCUGGGUUGCCCGUGAUAGCUAUGGAAAUGGAGUUGGAGGAGAUCGACAGCAACAGGGUGUGCAUUCAAUGCGGAUGACGAGCGGUGCCGAAUGUCCCAGGAAUGGAUCGACAUGAUUGGGCCGGAGCGGAUUGCCAAGGCCGAGAGGGAUGCCACAGCAAGCAACAUGUAGUAGUACACGACGCAGCUGGCAACAAUAAUGCACACUGGCUGUAGAGGACCGACUACUCAUCUCAACUCAACUGGAGAAGAACAGUAGCCCUUAAUUCGCUGAUCCCUUCGAUCGGAGAAGCGAGCAUUUGUAAGAGAACAGUUCGACCUUACAGCAUCGGCUGAGGCUCCAAAAUAUGAUAUGUGCAAAUUCAGCUCGAAAAUAAAUAUCACAAUAUACAGCCCGAGUAUGAACAGACGACCAAAGGAAACUGUGUCCACCCGAAAGAAAGAGUAAAAUAGAAAACUGGAAAUACUAGGAAGCCCAGCGCAACGAGUGACCACUUGACCAGAGCCAACCUCCAACUCCCUUUACUAACACUAGCAGAUGCUAUAGACUAUAUGUCCAUGUUCGCAGUGAGAUCAAUCUACUAGGCUCAGACAGUGGGGCUGAUGAUGCCGACAACAAAUCAUUCCAUGGUAGCGAAAUGUGUCACAGAAGAGAAAGCAGCAUGACUUCUUCGAUGUCAAUGGCGUACCAAAUAUGUCAGAUAGUUUGAAUCAGCGUUCUUCAGAAAUGUUCCCUUGAAUUGAGCGUUCUUCAGAAAUGUUCCCUUGAAUUGAGCGUUCUUCAGAGAUGUUCUGCAUUGCAAGGAAAAUUUCCUCAUCAGGUUAUGUUGGAUAUCGAUGUUAACAAGGUAUGCAAGAACAACAUUAUUCAGUACACAGAAAAUGAGUGUCUACUUCAUGUUAACAAAAUAAAACAACUGCCAAAAGUCAUUAGGCUGUAUUCUAGUAGUGAAAAUUGACAAAACUAGGACACACUAGCAGUGAACUGUAUCCGCAAAAAAUGUUUGUCCAGAUAAAUAAACUUUAGUUUUGUCACGGCCCAGGCUCUGGAGAGCGUAGCCAUGCAGAUCCUUGUGCGCCGUGGGCGCAAGGGGGUUAGCGUUUGGGGAUCGGAGGCACGCCUCCUCUUUUCUUCUUUAUUGAUUCUCUGGUGUCCACAUACUAGGCUUAGGUCCCUUUAUAUAUAGGGCCGGCUGAUACAAACUCAACUUAACUUUCCAACUAACACAAUCUUUAUCUAUGGAAAUAAUUAUCUAACUUGAUAUGCAAGCAAACUAAAGAUAAAGCCUAUCUCUAAGCAGAUUUCGGACCCUCCCUGUUCCUGCGCUUGAAGUGCUGGCCCCACAUGACAUGUACCCGAAAUAAGUUGUGAAGAGCUUAGUGUACAGUUCUGAAGAGAUUACUGUACAAAGGGCUAGGAUUUAGUGAUAUUACGUUGUCAAUAGCUCAAUGCACAAAGGGUUACAUGAUUGAUCACUAUACGAGCAUAGAAUGGCCAUUCCUGGAACUAAGAAUUUAAAACCAAGUAAAAUAUGCAAGGACACCUUAAAAAGUAUAUCAAGAAUCAGAGAUAGAAAUGGAAAGGUAAUCAAAUAAUGGAAGUAUAUACAACCAUACUUAAAUAGUGUAUCUGUGCUCAUGAAUCAUGAUUGUGACUGAUGUGUUGCCUAGAAUAACCUUUGGGACAUUUACAGAUAUGUUGGUUACUUAUAUGUUGCCGAGAAUAACCUCUAGAAUAUUUAUUUGACAGAUUUAACCUUUAGAGUUUAGUGUCUGCUCAACUUUCUCUAUCUCUGCAGUCCUCAUCCAACUCCUCUUUCCUCCCAAUCCAUCAUGUCCUCAUCCAAGAUCAAACUCCCCUCUGUAGUCCUCAUCAAGUGCUGGAUUGAUGCGCCGGUGGACACCCAAGGCCGUGGUGACCGAGCAGACACUGGCGCUACUCCCGCUGACUGUGAAAGAGACCUCGAGGGGCAGAUGAAGACAGUUGCUUUGAGCGGCGGAGAAAGACAGAAGCGUGUCUCACGCUGUGAUGGUGGAGGAGGAUGUGAGGUGGUGACUAGGCGGGCUCGCUGCUGAGGGCGGCCGCCUCGGAGGUGAGGCAGCAACUAGGUGUACGCGUCACUUGAGAUAACCAUUCUCGGUGUCCAGAUUUUAGGAAGGUUGUGAUGCGGUUCCAAGCUCCAUCACCAUGGACUUGUCCCCACGGAAGCGUGAGAGGGAGAGGUUGGUGGCAGAAGAGAUGGAUCUUUUAUUCCUACAACCAAUUUGCCAUCGGAGCAACUAGUUGCUCCGGUUCAAAGGUUUUCUAAUUUGACAACGCCUCCACAAUGGUGCGAACCAGUGCCAAAUGCCAAAUUUAGCAUUUGGCAUCGCUAUUUGGCCAAUGGUGGGGCUGCCCUUAUGUUACAUUACUUGUAAAAUUUCAAGUUGAAUCUGACUCAAGAUUCUUAGAGUAAACUUUAAUGAGAGGUUUUGUCGGUUAUUAGCAAGAAGCCUGUGUAUUUCUAUGGACUAACAAAAUCAUACAACAUGUUUAUAUGAUAAUUACUUUCUUCUAUUGGGGUGCUGCACGGUGUACCCGGAUAUUCGUUAUCCAUAGGAGAGUUUGUGCAAAAUAGUUUCCAGUGGGUCCCCUGGGUGGUAAGCAGUCUCACCUCAGUCUCAGCCGCUGGUAGCAACUUGGACGGUUACUUAGUAUGAUCUCAAGGCAAAUGGUUCAUCACCACCAACUGGUUUGUUUAUAGGAGCAAAAAUAUAGGAUUUAUUCCCGUCUUUCAAGUUUAAAAAUGUCGCAUAUACCAUUGGUUGCAGAAUAGGCAUAGUUAGGGCACAGAGAAUGUGAAAUUUCAAGCACAUUUCACUAAAUCAUAUGUUAUAUUACAGAUGUCUAGUCAUCGGUUUUUGUUAUAAAUAUAGAUAGAUUAAUAAUCAUGAAGGGAAUCUGAUGUUGCAGGUAAGGGUAAAAAUAGAGGCUAUAACUCUUUCUGGAUAAUACACAUGGGAAUCGUGCAUAUUUGCAUUACUCGGAAGGGAAAAUGGAUACCUAAAUGUCAUAUCCUAAUUAGAUCGAUACUGAAUUGACAGGUUUAGCAUUUAGCAUGUAGGUAAGGUUGCCCCACACCGUUGAAAGGAACUGUUAAGCAGAUGUAUGGAUCAAAACAUGCGAACAACCUAGGUUUCCUGAACCAUUGGCAAUUCAGCGCCUCAAUGAAAUGCCUUGCUCUCAACUUCAUGGCUUCCAACCUGAUUAUGGUGAGCAGCGGCUGGACCUCGGAAUAUUUGUUGUUGAAGGGCCCAUUUCUCUUCCUCCACAGAAACAGUGAAACCUUCCCUUUUCUCCCAGUUUUUGGCAGAGUAAGAUAGAGAUGAAGGGGCAGAUGGCUGUGUUCUCCCUGUUUUGGCACGAGCAAGACAGAGGAGGAGGUGCAGAUGAAUGUGGCACAGAAAUGGGGAAUGAAGGAAGGCUUCCCAUUGUGUCCUGAUUAAUUUCGUGGUUCAGGUGGAGCUGAACCCAUAAUCUUUCUUUGAUUACAAUCAAGAGAAAAAAUGAAUUGAAUUGCCUAACAGUUUUUAUUCGAAAGCAACCAAAUUGAAUGUUUUCUCUAAAUUGGGGCUCUGGUUAACCAACAAAGAAGGCUUGCAACUGUAAUACAGAGACCAAGGGCAGUUUGUCAUGUUUAGAUGGUUAGUGUAACUUUCAGGUAUCCAUCGCGCACAGAUAAAAUCGUUCCCACUUUGAUUUUUUCACCACCAUAAAUUUCAUAAGCACUCAAAACCAGUGGUUGGCAUUUUACAUGAAAACCAGAAACAUCAUGUCAAAAGUUUAUCAUAAGCUGAAAUUGAUGCGAAAAAUUAGCAAAUCCUAUGCUUCAUGGGGUCCAAUGGAGGAAACCGAAUUGAAGUAAUAUGGAACAAAAAGUUUUAUGAUAUGUUUGUUACUAAUCAGGUUAUACAUGUCCAACAACUCAUAACCUAUAUGUGAAAUCACCUUCAUUAAAUCUUCAAUAUGUUGCUAUUUUUCUGAGAAAACGCAAAGCUUCCGCCUCAAUGCAUUGAUAGAAAGAAGAGAAAUACAAAUGUACAAGCCUAAGACUAGACUGAGCAACCGACCACUCAAGGAAAGACCACGACCAGCAGCCACAAAAUAAACGUUACAACUGACGCAAUCAAACAAACCCCGGCCUAGAUGCCACCGAGACAAGCAUUAAAAAUCAUGAGCUGCGGCGCAAUUUCUACGCACGACGCAAUCCGUGCCAUACACCUCAACCAGACGUUUAUCACGAGCUUGCACGCACGCACUGCCGAUUGGACAGUGCUGAACCGGUUCGCGCUGUAAGUUCAAUCACUGAAUUUCUCGCGCUACAUUUAGGUAACAUUAAAUGUGCUACUACCAUGAAUCAACAGAAACUAUUUCUUAGAUGAACCCACUGCAACUGCAAGACAUUAAUCAAAAUUAUAGAACGGUGAAACCAUAAAUUACAAUUAGGAUGGAACCAACCUUGUCAGACCCGGAGAAGCUGGACCUUGUUCUCAAUGGAAAUGCCCAUCCAGUCCGGGUGUCCGGCCACCCACUGCAGCUGGUUUAUCUCGGCACCCGCAUCAUAAACAAGAACUGGAUCAAUCCCUUCGGGAGGCACUGCUGCCGGUGCCUCAGGCAGCUCCCAGAUGAGCGCCUGCCCGUCGUCCCCUGCGGAGCAGAGGUGUCUUGCAGCCUGCGGUGCCCACGCAACAGCGUUGACGCAUCCCCCAUGCCGAUGUAGCUCGGCCACAGGCACCCCGGGUGCGCGUAUGUCGAGCACAACGACGGCGUUGCUGUCCAUGAGCAGGGCGGCCAUGUACCGUAGGUCAUAGCGGUUCCAGGCAAGCCUGAGGAGCGGCGUGUCCGGGCGGGGGCUCUCGUAGACGAUGGUGGAGUGCUCCUUGUCCCGGAGAUCAAAGACGCGGACGGAGCCAUCGGCGGAGACGGAGGCGAAGACGCCGGCCUCCCCCCAGGCGAUGUCGUGCACGGCCUUGUCGUGCGCGAUGAGCUGCGUCUCGACGACGCCGCGCUCGAUGUCCCAGACGGUGCAGGUGGUGUCGAUGGAGGCGGUCCCGAUGCGGCGGGGCUCGAUCUCGUUCCAGUCGAAGGAGGUGAGGGGCGCGCAGAAGUCGGAGGCGGAGGCCUUGCGGUUGUCGAGGACGGAGCGGAGCUCGGGGGCGGGGGCGGAGGCGGAGAGGUCGUCGAGGGGGGCGUGCCAGAGGCGGAGGGCGUCGGAGGAGGAGGCGAGGAGGGGCGUGGAGGCAGCGCGCGGGUUGAACUGGAGCUUGGUGGGCGGGUAGGGGUGGUCGAAGGAGAGGGAGGGGACGGCGCGGAAGGAGGCGGCGGUGGGGUGGACGGAGUCGAAGCAGAGGAGGGAGACGCGGUUGUGGAGGUCCUCGAGGAAGCUCCCGGCGGCGAGGACGGGCGCGGAGGGGGAGAAGGCCAGCGCGUAGAUCGAGUGGGGGAGCUCGCACGUGAAGGCGUAGGGGUUGGGCGCCGCGUCCGCCCCCGCCGGCGAGGCGGCCGCCGACGGCGUCGGCUUCGGCUGGUCCAUGGGGAGAGGGUUUGCCCUGUUCCGUGUGGAUUUGGGGGUGGACUUGUGCCGCUGGCUGCUGGGGCUCCUGGCCUGGGUGAUUGUUUUACGGCGGGGGUGUGGAGGAAGUUUCAGCGCUCUCGUCGUCUCGUGCACUCCAGCGGGCGGCGGGUGAACGGAGACCUGGCAAGUGAGCACGAGGGUUGAAAUCGAUGGAGCCGCCGGUCUACGGGUGCAGUGCGCGGCGCACGGGAGGAGGACCGACGAAUUUCCAGAGCAAAGGAGUGUCGUUCGAGUGAGAUUUUGACCGGAAAACGCGAUCGGGAUGGUCAUGUUCUUUUCUUGAGGGGAAAGCUUGCAACGCGAUUAUAUUCAUAUAUAUGUACAACUUCUCUAAGGAAAUACUAGAACAAACAUAAAAUUAAAAAAAUGUCAUGCUUAUCUCAAUCAUAAAUGAGUUGUUUUUCAUCAUAUAAGAAAAACAAAGCAUUCGUUUGAAGAGUUUUGAGUGUAUGCUAAAAUGUAUAUGGACUAUGUAUAAUGGAAUCCUUAAGAAAAGGAUAAUGAUUUUAGUCAGGCGACCCGCAACUGCGUUCACCCGUCGCCUCCUACUCCCCCCUCCCUCUCCUUAUCCCCUUCCCGUGGCUUCCGAUUCACUCAUCCUGCGCUGCCUCGCCUCAUCUAUCGAAAAAGAUUUUCGCCCCGCUUUAUAUGUAAAGCAACGAUUAUCAACAACCUGAUACAAACACACGCCACCACAACACACGCACACAUCCAAGCAGAGAUGAAGCUANNNNNNNNNNNNNNNNNNNNNNNNNNNNNNNNNNNNNNNNNNNNNNNNNNNNNNNNNNNNNNNNNNNNNNNNNNNNNNNNNNNNNNNNNNNNNNNNNNNNNNNNNNNNNNNNNNNNNNNNNNNNNNNNNNNNNNNNNNNNNNNNNNNNNNNNNNNNNNNNNNNNNNNNNNNNNNNNNNNNNNNNNNNNNNNNNNNNNNNNNNNNNNNNNNNNNNNNNNNNNNNNNNNNNNNNNNNNNNNNNNNNNNNNNNNNNNNNNNNNNNNNNNNNNNNNNNNNNNNNNNNNNNNNNNNNNUAGAACUCAUGUAUGCCCUAAAAAUAAAGUAGCAAUAUUAUAUGGCUAAAAAUGUGUAUCUCGUACUAAGUAACAUGUCUAUAAUUUAUUUAUUUUGAAACGAGAGGGUUUUCCUACGCCCCAAUUUUUAUUAAAAAGUGAAGGCAAAACGGCCACACACAAACUGUUUAUAGCUUUCGGCACAGCCAGAAAGUAGCUGCAGCAGACUUAUUACAAGAAGUUUAUGUAGUUCUUUCCAUCAAACACUCGUGACAAUAUGGUCAGGGCAUACGACAGAGCUAUAUAAGCCACUAUCGGUUCAACAAAAGGCGGCUCUAUUGAUCAACUACCCCAUCACCAACAGUCCAGGCAAUCCUAAGCAGCUCCUCUCGUCGAUGGUCGAGCAACGUUAAACAACGAAGGGGGAGCUUCCACUGACGAAUUCUUGCGCCCACCAAGUCCAGGAUGCAUCGCACACUUCGCCAACUUCGCCGCUAGAAGACAAAUUCAUUUUAAAACAACCAUAAGCUCCACAAGGCAACAUAGGUAACCAAAUUAAUAACUUCACACCGUUUGUUAGCUAUCUAGGAAGAAAGUAGAGAACAUAAAGAGCUGGGCACAGGAAUGUUAAUACUCUCCGACACCACAGCCCACAUGUGUUUGGCAACAAUGCAACCAAAAAACAGAUGUUGGAUACUUUGAGGUUCAGCACAAAACAUACACGAGACAUCUUCAACGUGUCUGCAUUUGGCCAAGUUAUCUCUAGUUAAACUUUUGUUAUGAACAAUAAGCCACAAAAAACCAUGGACAUUGGGAGGCACUUUGAUCUUCCAAAUAAAAUCCUUAAGAUCAAAAGAGACCACCCCUCCCUACAAAGUUGAUUUCCUUAUACAAGGAUUUAACAAAAUAAAGACCAGUUUUCUCCAAUGUCCAAAUAGGUCUAUCUAACUCAUCUGUAGGAGAAAAUUGUUGACCCGAUCCGCUAGCUCAAACCAUCUGGUUAGAGUUAGUUCAUCCACACAUCUUCUAAAAGAAAGGUGCAGACCCAUUCCAUCCCACACUUGGAAAUAUGAGCAAUUUACCGAAUGAUUUUAUUAACAGAAAUACUAGAUAAAGCAUGACUAAUAUAGCAGAGAUAAGACAAGUCAUGCGAUCUGACAGAGAUAAGGUAAAUAGCAUCUGCAUAUAUGAACUGUAGCCAAAUGUAUCUAAAGCAGAUAGUAGAGCAAGUUGCAUAUAUGAAGUAGAACCUAACAUAUCUAGGGCAAACACUAGAACAAGGAACUGUGGAAGGACCUCAAACAAAAAGAAGAAGAACACAUACGGGACAGCAGCAGCAGUAGCACUGGACUUGGGGUCGGUGUCCUCGCCAGCCAUGUCGUCAAGGAGGUUGUCGACGUCGGGGAAGAAGUCGGCGGAGUCCGGGGCGUCCGUGACGAAGAAGUCAGUAGUCGCGCGGAGCGCUCCCCUUCUCCCGUACAAGACUCAAAGAGGUGCGGUUUCAGAGGCCUACUGUCCCGACUCGCGGUGCACGCCGCUGAUGGGGAUCGUAGCAGAAUUUUAAAAUUUUCUACGCAUCACCAAGAUCCAUCUAUGGAGUUCACUAGCAACGAGAAGGAAGGAGUGCAUCUACAUACCCUUAUAAAUCGCGAGCGGAAGCGUUCAAGUGAACGGGGUUGAUGGAGUCGUACUCGUCGUGAUCCAAAUCACCGAUGACCGAGCGCCGAACGGACGGCACCUUCGCGUUCAAUACACGUACGGAGCAGCGACGUCUCCUCCUUCUUGAUCCAGCAAGGGGGAAGGAGAGGUUGAUGGAGAUCCAGCAGCACGACGGCGUGGUGGUGGAAGUAGCGGGGAUCCCGGCAGGGCUUCGCCAAGCGCAAGCGGGAGGGAGAGGUGUCACGGGAGGGAGAGGGAGGCGCCAGGGGCUAGGGUACUGCUGCCCUCCCUCCCCCCCCCCCACUAUAUAUAGGCCCCCUGGGGGGCGCCGGCCCUGGGAUCCCAUCUACAUGGGGGGGGGGGCGGCGGCCAAGGGGGGAAACUUGCCCCCCAAGUCAGGUGGGGCGCCCCCAUCCCCAGGGUUUCCAACCCUAGGCGCAGGGGAGGCCCAUGGGGGGCGCACCAGCCCACCAGGGGCUGGUUCCCCUCCCACUUCAGCCCAUGGGGCCCUCCGGGAUAGGUGGCCCCACCCGGUGGACCCCCGGGACCCUUCCGGUGGUCCCGGUACAAUACCGAUAACCCCCGAAACUUUCCCGGUGGCCGAAACUGGACUUCCUAUAUAUAAUUCUUCACCUCCGAACCAUUCUGGAACUCCUCGUGACGUCCGGGAUCUCAUCCGGGACUCCGAACAACUUUCGGGUUUCCGCAUACUAAUAUCUCUACAACCCUAGCGUCACCGAACCUUAAGUGUGUAGACCCUACGGGUUCGGGAGACAUGCAGACAUGACCGAGACGACUCUCCGGUCAAUAACCAACAGCGGGAUCUGGAUACCCAUGUUGGCUCCCACAUGUUCCACGAUGAUCUCAUCGGAUGAACCACGAUGUCGAGGAUUCAAUCAAUCCCGUAUACAAUUCCCUUUGUCAAUCGGUACGUUACUUGCUCGAGAUUCGAUCGUCGGUAUCCCAAUACCUAGUUCAAUCUCGUUACCGGCAAGUCACUUUACUCGUACCAUAAUGCAUGAUCCCGUGGCUAACUCCUUAGUCACAUUGAGCUCAUUAUGAUGAUGCAUUACCGAGUGGGCCCAGAGAUACCUCUCCGUCAUACGGAGUGACAAAUCCCAGUCUCGAUCCGUGUCAACCCAACAGACACUUUCAGAGAUACCUGUAGUGUACCUUUAUAGUCACCCAGUUACGUUGUGACGUUUGGUACACCCAAAGCACUCCUACGGCAUCCGGGAGUUACACGAUCUCAUGGUCUAAGGAAAUGAUACUUGACAUUGGAAAUGCUCUAGCAAACGAACUACACGAUCUUUGUGCUAUGCUUAGGAUUGGGUCUUGUCCAUCCCAUCAUUCUCCUAAUGAUGUGAUCCCGUUAUCAAUGACAUCCAAUGUCCAUAGUCAGGAAACCAUGAUUAUCUAUUGAUCAACGAGCUAGUCAACUAGAGGCUUACUAGGGACACGUUGUGGUCUAUGUAUUCACACAUGUAUUACGAUUUCCGGAUAACACAAUUAUAGCAUGAACAAUAGACAAUUAUCAUGAACAAGGAAAUAUAAUAAUAACCAUUUUAUUAUUGCCUCUAGGGCAUAUUUCCAACAGUCUCCCACUUGCACUAGAGUCAAUAAUCUAGUUACAUUGUGAUGAAUCGAACACCCAUAGAGUUCUGGUGUUGAUCAUGUUUUGCUCUAAGGAGAGGUUUAGUCAACGGAUCUGCUACAUUCAGGUCCGUAUGUACUUUACAAAUAUCUAUGUCUCCAUUUUGAACACUUUCACGAAUGGAGUUGAAGCGACGCUUGAUAUGUCUGGUGUUCCUGUGAAACCUGGGCUCCUUGGCAAGGGCAAUAGCUCCAGUGCUGUCACAGAAGAGAGUCAACGGGCCCGACGCAUUGGGAAUCACCCCUAAGUCGGUAAUGAACUCCUUCAUCCAGAUUGCUUCUUGCGCUGCCUCUGAGGCCGCCAUGUACUCCGCUUCACAAGUAGAUCCCGCCACGACGCUUUGCUUGCAACUGCACCAGCUUACUGCCCCUCCAUUCAAAAUAUACACGUAUCCGGUUUGUGACUUCGAGUCAUCCAGAUCUGUGUCGAAGCUAGCAUCGACGUAACCCUUUACGACGAGCUCUUCGUCACCUCCAUAAACAAGAAACAUAUCCUUAGUCCUCUUCAGGUACUUUAGGAUAUUCUUGACCGCUGUCCAGUGUUCCAUGCCGGGAUUACUUUGGUACCUUCCUACCAAACUUACGGCAAGGUUUACAUCAGGUCUGGUACACAGCAUGGCAUACAUAAUAGACCCUAUGGCCGAGGCAUAGGGGAUGACACUCAUCUUUUCUCUAUCUUCUGCCGUGGUCAGGCAUUGAGCCGUGCUCAAUUGCACACCUUGCAAUACAGGAAAGAACCCCUUCUUGGACUGAUCCAUAUUGAACUUCUUCAAUAUCUUGUCAAGGUACGUACUCUGUGAAAGACCAAUGAGGCGUCUUGAUCUAUCUCUAUAGAUCUUGAUGCCUAAUAUAUAAGCAGCUUCUCCAAGGUCCUUCAUUGAAAAACAUUUAUUCAAGUAGGCCUUUAUACUUUCCAAGAAUUCUAUAUCAUUUCCCAUCAAUAGUAUGUCAUCCACAUAUAAUAAGAGAAAUGCUACAGAGCUCCCACUCACUUUCUUGUAAACACAGGCUUCUCCAUAAGUCUGUGUAAACCCAAAUGCUUUGAUCAUCUCAUCAAAUCGAAUGUUCCAACUCCGAGAUGCUUGCACCAGCCCAUAGAUGGAGCGCUGGAGCUUGCAUACCUUGUUAGCAUUCUUAGGAUCGACAAAACCUUCCGGCUGCAUCAUAUACAACUCUUCCUUAAGAAAGCCGUUAAGGAAUGCCGUUUUGACGUCCAUUUGCCAUAUCUCAUAAUCAUAGAAUGCGGCAAUUGCUAACAUGAUUCAGACGGACUUCAGCUUCGCUACGGGUGAGAAAGUCUCAUCGUAGUCAACCCCUUGAACUUGUCGAUAACCCUUAGCGACAAGUCGAGCCUUAUAGAUGGUCACAUUACCAUCCGCGUCUGUCUUCUUCUUAAAGAUCCAUUUAUUUUCUAUGGCUCGCCGAUCAUCGGGCAAGUCAGUCAAAGUCCAUACUUCAUUUUCAUACAUGGAUCCUAUCUCGGAUUGCAUGGCUUCAAUCCAUUUGUUGGAAUCCGGGCCCGCCAUCGCUUCUUCAUAGUUCGAAGGUUCACCGUUGUCUAUCAACAUGAUUUCCAGGACAGGGUUGCCGUACCACUCUGGUGCGGAACGUGUCCUUGUGGACCUACGAAGUUCAGUAGUAACUUGAUCCGAAGCUUCAUGAUCAUCAUCAUUAACUUCCUCCCCAGUCGGUGUAGGCACCACAGGAACAUCUUCCCGCGCUGCGCUACUUUCCGGUUCGGAAGGGGUGACUAUCACCUCAUCAAGUUCCACUUUCCUCCCACUCACUUCUUUCGAGAGAAACUCUUUCUCCAGAAAGGACCCGUUCUUGGCAACAAAGAUUUUGCCUUCGGAUCUGAGGUAGAAGGUAUACCCAAUGGUUUCCUUAGGGUAUCCUAUGAAGACACAUUUUUCCGACUUGGGUUCGAGCUUUUCAGGUUGAAGUUUCUUGACAUAAGCAUCGCAUCCCCAAACUUUUAGAAACGAUAGCUUAGGUUUCUUCCCAAACCAUAAUUCAUACGGUGUCGUCUCAACGGAUUUCGACGGAGCCCUAUUUAAAGUGAAUGCGGCAGUCUCUAAAGCAUAGCCCCAAAAUGAGAGCGGUAGAUCGGUAAGAGACAUCAUAGAUCGCACCAUAUCCAAUAGAGUGCGAUUACGAUGUUCGGACACACCAUUUCGCUGAGGUGUUCCAGGCGGCGUGAGUUGUGAAAUGAUUCCACAUUUCCUUAAGUGCGUACCAAAUUCGUGACUUAAAUAUUCUCCCCCACGAUCUGAUCGUAAGAACUUUAUUUUCCUGUCACGUUGAUUCUCAACCUCACUCUGAAAUUCCUUGAACUUUUCAAAGGUUUCAGACUUGUGUUUCAUUAGGUAGACAUACCCAUAUCUACUUAAGUCAUCAGUGAGAGUGAGAACAUAACGAUAGCCACCGCGAGCCUCAACACUCAUUGGACCGCACACAUCAGUAUGUAUGAUUUCCAAUAAGUUGGUUGCUCGCUCCAUUGUUCUGGAGAACGGAGUCUUGGUCAUCUUACCCAUGAGGCAUGGUUCGCACGUGUCAAAUGAUUCGUAAUCAAGAGACUCCAAAAGUCCAUCUGCAUGGAGCUUCUUCAUGCGUUUGACACCAAUGUGACCAAGGCGGCAGUGCCACAAGUAUGUGGGACUAUCGUUAUCAACUUUACAUCUUUUGGUAUUCACACUAUGAAUAUGUGUAACAUCACGUUCGAGAUUCAUUAAGAAUAAACCAUUGACCAGCGGGGCAUGACCAUAAAACAUAUCUCUCAUAUAAAUAGAACAACCAUUAUUCUCGGAUUUAAAUGAGUAGCCAUCUCGAAUUAAACGAGAUCCUGAUACAAUGUUCAUGCUCAAAGUUGGCACUAAAUAACAAUUAUUGAGGUUUAAAACUAAUCCCGUAGGUAAAUGUAGAGGCAGCGUGCCGACGGCGAUCACAUCGACCUUGGAACCAUUCCCGACGCGCAUCGUCACCUCGUCCUUCGCCAGUCUCCGCUUAUUCCGCAGCUCCUGUUUUGAGUUACAAAUAUGAGCAACCGCACCGGUAUCAAAUACCCAGGAGCUACUACGAGUACUGGUAAGGUACACAUCAAUUACGUGUAUAUCACAUAUACCUUUGGUGUUGUCGGCCUUCUUGUCCGCUAAGUAUUUGGGGCAGUUCUGCUUCCAGUGACCACUUCCCUUGCAAUAAAAGCACUCAGUCUCAGGCUUGGGUCCAUUCUUUGACUUCUUCCCGGCAACUGGCUUACCGGGCGCGGCAACUCCCUUGCCGUCCUUCUUGAAGUUCUUCUUACCCUUGCCUUUCUUGAAAUUAGUGGUUUUAUUCACCAUCAACACUUGAUGUUCCUUUUUGAUCUCCACCUCCGCUAAUUUCAGCAUUGAAUAUACCUCAGGAAUGGUCUUUUCCAUCCCCUGCAUAUUGAAGUUCAUCACAAAGCUCUUGUAGCUUGGUGGAAGCGACUGAAGGAUUCUGUCAAUGACCGCGUCAUCCGGGAGAUUAACUCCCAGCUGAGACAAGCGGUUGUGUAACCCAGACAUUUUGAGUAUGUGCUCACUGACAGAACUAUUUUCCUCCAUUUUACAACUGAAGAACUUGUCGGAGACUUCAUAUCUCUCGACCCGGGCAUGAGCUUGGAAAACCAUUUUCAGAUCUUCGAACAUCUCAUAUGCUCCAUGUUUCUCAAAACGCUUUUGGAGCCCCAGUUCUAAGCUGUAAAGCAUGCCGCACUGAACGAGGGAGUACUCAUCAGCACGUGAUUGCCAAGCGUUCAUAACGUCUUGGUUCUCUGGGAUGGGUGCUUCACCUAGCGGUGCUUCUAGGACAUAAUCUUUCUUGGCAGCUAUGAGGAUGAUUCUCAGGUUCCGGACCCAGUCCGUAUAGUUGCUGCCAUCAUCUUUCAGCUUGGUUUUCUCUAGGAACGCGUUGAAGUUGAGGGCAACAUGGGCCAUUUGAUCUACAAGACAUAUUGUAAAGAUUUUAGACUAAGUUCAUGAUAAUUAAGUUCAUCUAAUCAAAUUAUUCAAUGAACUCCCACUCAGAUAGACAUCCCUCUAGUCAUCUAAGUGAAAACAUGAUCCGAGUCAACUAGGCCGUGUCUGAUCAUCACGUGAGACGGACUAGUCAAGAUCGGUGAACAUCUUCAUGUUGAUCGUAUCUUCUAUACGACUCAUGCUCGACCUUUCGGUCUUCCGUGUUCCGAGGCCAUGUCUGUACAUGCUAGGCUCGUCAAGUCAACCUAAGUGUAUUGCGUGUGUUCCGAGGCCAUGUCUGUACAUGCUAGGCUCGUCAACACCCGUUGUAUGCGAACGUUAGAAUCUAUCACACCCGAUCAUCACGUGGUGCUUCGAAACAACGAACCUUCGCAACGGUGCACAAUUAGGGGGCACUUUCUUGAAAUUAUUAUAAGGGAUCAUCUUACUUACUACCGUCGGACUAAGCAAAUAAGAUGUAAAACAUGAUAAACAUCACAUGCAAUCAAAUAGUGACAUGAUAUGGCCAAUAUCAUUUUGCUCCUUUGAUCUCCAUCUUCGGGGCGCCAUGAUCAUCUUCGUCACCGGCAUGACACCAUGAUCUCCAUCACCGUGUCUUCAUGAAGUUGUCACGCCAACGAUUACUUCUACUUCUAUGGCUAAGGUGUUUAGCAAUAAAGUAAAGUAAUUUACAUGGCGUUAUUCAAUGACACGCAGGUCAUACAAAAAUAAAGACAACUCCUAUGGCUCCUGCCGGUUGUCAUACUCAUCGACAUGCAAGUCAUGAUUCCUAUUACAAGAACAUGAUCAAUCUCAUACAUCACAUAUAUCAUUCAUCACAUCUUCUGGCCAUAUCACAUCACAAGGCACAUGCUGCAAAAACAAGUUAGACGUCCUCUAAUUGUUGUUGCAAGUUUUUACGUGGCUUCUAUAGGUUUCUAGCAAGAACGUUUCUUACCUACGUAAAACCACAACGUGAUAUGCCAAUUUCUAUUUACCCUUCAUAAGGACCCUUUUCAUCGAAUCCGUUCCGACUAAAGUGGGAGAGGCAGACACCCGCUAGCCACCUUAUGCAACUAGUGCAUGUCAGUCGGUGGAACCUGUCUCACGUAAGCGUACGUGUAAGGUCGGUCCGGGCCGCUUCAUCCCACAAUACCGCCGAAACAAGAUAAGACUAGUAGUGGCAAGAAAAAUUGACAACAUCUACGCCCACAACUGCUUUGUGUUCUACUCGUGCAUAGAAACUACGCAUAGGCCUGGCUCAUGAUGCCACUGAUGGGGAUCGUAGCAGAAUUUUAAAAUUUUCUACGCAUCACCAAGAUCCAUCUAUGGAGUUCACUAGCAACGAGAAGGAAGGAGUGCAUCUACAUACCCUUGUAGAUCGCGAGCGGAAGCGUUCAAGUGAACGGGGUUGAUGGAGUCGUACUCGUCGUGAUCCAAAUCACCGAUGACCGAGCGCCGAACGGACGACACCUCCGCGUUCAACACACGUACGGAGCAGCAACGUCUCCUCCUUCUUGAUCCAGCAAGGGGGAAGGAGAGGUUGAUGGAGAUCCAGCAGCACGAUGGCGUGGUGGUGGAAGUAGCGGGGAUCCCGGAAGGGCUUCGCCAAGCGCAAGCGGGAGGGAGAGGUGUCACGGGAGGGAGAGGGAGGCGCCAGGGGCUAGGGUACUGCUACCCUCCCUCCACCCCCACUAUAUAUAGGCCCCCUGGGGGGCGCCGGCCCUGGGAUCCCAUCUACAUGGGGGGGCGGCGGCCCAGGGGGGAAACUUGCCCCCCAAGUCAGGUGGGGCGCCCCCACCCCCAGGGUUUCCAACCCUAGGCGCAGGGGGAGGCCCAUGGGAGGCGCACCAGCCCACCAGGGGCUGGUUCCCCUCCCACUUCAGCCCAUGGGGCCCUCCGGGAUAGGUGGCCCCACCCGGUGGACCCCCGGGACCCUUCCGGUGGUCCCGGUACAAUACCGAUAACCCCCGAAACUUUCCCGGUGGCCGAAACUGGACUUCCUAUAUAUAAUUCUUCACCUCCGAACCAUUCCGGAACUCCUUGUGACAUCCGGGAUCUCAUCCGGGACUCCGAACAACUUUCGGGUUUCCGCAGACUAAUAUCUCUACAACCCUAGCGUCACCGAACCUUAAGUGUGUAGACCCUACGGGUUCGGGAGACAUGCAGACAUGACCGAGACAACUCUCCGGUCAAUAACCAACAGCGGGAUCUGGAUACCUAUGUUGGCUCCCACAUGUUCCACGAUGAUCUCAUCGGAUGAACCACGAUGUCGAGGAUUCAAUCAAUCCCGUAUACAAUUCCCUUUGUCAAUCGGUAUGUUACUUGCCCGAGAUUCGAUCGUCGGUAUCCCAAUACCUCGUUCAAUCUCGUUACCAGCAAGUCACUUUACUCGUACCAUAAUGCAUGAUCCCGUGGCUAACUCCUUAGUCACAUUGAGCUCAUUAUGAUGAUGCAUUACCGAGUGGGCCCAGAGAUACCUCUCCGUCAUACGGAGUGACAAAUCCCAGUCUCGAUCCGUGUCAACCCAACAGACACUUUCAGAGAUACCUGUAGUGUACCUUUAUAGUCACCCAGUUACGUUGUGACGUUUGGUACACCCAAAGCACUCCUACGGCAUCCGGGAGUUACACGAUCUCAUGGUCUAAGGAAAUGAUACUUGACAUUGGAAAAGCUCUAGCAAACGAACUACACGAUCUUUGUGCUAUGCUUAGGAUUGGGUCUUGUCCAUCACAUCAUUCUCCUAAUGAUGUGAUCCCGUUAUCAAUGACAUCCAAUGUCCAUAGUCAGGAAACCAUGACUAUCUGUUGAUCAACGAGCUAGUCAACUAGAGGCUUACUAGGGACACGUUGUGGUCUAUGUAUUCACACAUGUAUUACGAUUUCCGGAUAACACAAUUAUAGCAUGAACAAUAGAAAAUUAUCAUGAACAAGGAAAUAUAAUAAUAACCAUUUUAUUAUUGCCUCUAGGGCAUAUUUCCAACAGCCGCAAGUCGGUAUGAGGAAGACAGCAGCAACACAGAGAUUGGAACCGAUGGCGAGAGGAAGAAGAUGUUCUGGUGCACCUCUCUGAGAGGAGCGACCUCCCUUUUAUAGGCGCAAGAGAAUGAUGCGAGAGGCCAGCGACGAGAGAUGAAGCAACAGAGGGAGACGAAGCGAGCGGUCUUCAGCCGAAGAGGCGCGACGUUCGGAUUCAAUGUCCACUACAGAAAAAUGUUUCAGCUUCUGCGUGACUGUAAGUGCAUCUAGUGCCACCCCUAGUUGGUUUUGGAGUAUUGACGACAAACCUGGUUGAGGGACUAAUGUGUUUGUGAGAAUUGCAGGAUAACACAGGUAGUAGUCCCUCAUUGAUUCGGUUUACCUACCGGAGAUGACCCCUAAAAAUGUGUGAAGACAUUGAAGACAAUGGUGGUAUGUGAAGAUAUUCACAUUGAAGACUAUGACAUGAGAAGACAUCACAUGAAGACUUUGGAGCGCGAAGACAUAGUUGUUUCAUAGUUUCAUUUUCUUCUUUGUUGAGUCAUAGGAACCACCGUACUGUUAAGUGGGGUCCAAGUGAACAAAGUCAGCGUGACUGAAGUGAUGCUCAACCAAAUCCUAUGUCUUCGAACGAAGACAAUGAGAGCAAAUCUUAUCUAGAGCUGGAUGAGUCAGCUUUACUUGUAGCCCAAGUCAAGUUGUCGCGUGUGUUUGAAAUCUGACCGUUGGAACACGUGUCAGUUCCUUAGUGACCCAGGGUCAUUUCGGACAAAUCAGGUUGGGUUGCCUAGUGGCUAUAAAUAGCCCACCCCCUACACCAUAAAUUGGUGGCUGCUCAGAGUUAGUGCACGGCUUUUGUCGUUUGAGAGCAACCCACCUCCGAAGCUUUUGAGAGAGAGAAAUCCUUGCGAGGACAAAGCCCAAACACCCAGAGCCAAAGAGUGUUAGGCAUCACUGAAGUCUUUCUGUCCGCGUGACCUGAAGACUUGUUACACUUAAGGACUGUGAAUCCUCCAGCCGGUUAGGCGGCACCUUCUGAGCAUCCAAGAGUCAUUGUGGAUCGCCGGUGAACGAAGUCUGUGAAGGUUUGGAAGUCUACCUUGAAUACUUACCAGAGUGAUUGGGCGAGGACUGGGUGUCCUUAGCUCAAGGGGAAUAAGGUGAAGACACGGUCUUCGGAGUUAAAUCUCAGCCUCCCUAACCAGACGUACAGUUGUCACAGCAACUGGAACUGGUCCAACAAAUCCUUGUCCUCAUCAAGCGUCUGGUUCUAUCUCCUCCCUCUCUUUAUUUAUAGUUUUUCUUUGUGAAGUCAUUGCCUGCUUGUGUUACCUGUUUGACUUCACUGUGUGACUUCUAUUGUUGUUUAGCUUCACACUAUCUUCCAUCCUGAUCUUUACUACCUAGCUGCUAUUAGUCUUCAUGCUUUCAAUUCAUUGAAUACUUGACUAUGGCCUGCGUAGUGUAGUCUACCUUCUGCUGCAUGUUAAUAGGUUCAUUUCUAUCGUUUGUCUUUGAAACUCCCAUGUUUUGAAGACUUUUCAUAAAAAUCGCCUAUUCACCCCCCCUAUAGUCGAUAACUAGCACUUUCAAUUGGUAUCAGAGCAAGGUACUCCCUUGUUCUGUGUGAUUCGGUUUAACCACCUAGAGUUUUAGCUAUGUCGACUGUAGGGAUAAUCAAAGUCUCCGCUGUGUGCCCUGUCUUCGAUGGCACUGAAUAUCCCUACUGGAAGAAUAAGAUGCGCAUGCAUCUUGAAGCCAUUGAUGUCGACCUCUGGUAUGUCGUCAAGAACAGCGUUCCCAAGACCGGUGAAGGUGUCACCCCUGCUGAUGUCAAGAAGUUCAUUCAGCUGGAUUCUACUUCCAAGAACAUCAUCUGUGGUCAUCUGACCAAAGGACAGUAUGGCCGUGUGAGUGCUCUGGAAACGUCGAAGCUAGUCUGGGACUGGCUCUCCAAGGUCAACGAAGGCGUCUCAACCCAGAGAGAUCAAAGGAUCAGUGUUCUUCGCAACCUCUUCAACCGCUUCAAGAGAAACGACAAUGAGAAUGUCCAGCUCACGUUUGAUCGCCUUACUGACAUCACAAAUGAGCUUCGUGCUCUCGGCGCCACUGAAAUCACCAAGCAUGAAAUCGUCAAGACACUCCUGAGAUCACUUGACAGCUCAUUUGACACCCUAGCCCGGAUGAUUCAAGAACGCCCUGACUUCAAGACUCUCGAUCCGUCUGACAUACUUGAGAGACUCAACACACAUGAGUUUCAGCUAUCUGAGAAAAGAGAUAUCUAUGGUCCCAACUAUGGCCGAACUCGCGCUUUGAAGGCAAAGGCUAUUUCCUCAUCUGAAGAAGAAUCUGACUGCAGUUCUGGUGAUCCUGAAGAUAUUGGAAAGGAGCUUGCUAUGCUUGUGAAGAAGUUCCAGAAGUUCACUAGGAAGAAAGGCUUCAGAAAGUCUUCACGAUCCAGCUCAAGAAAUGAUGAAGCUUCCACUCAUGACCACAAGAAGAGAACAUGUCACAAGUGCAAGAAACCUGGACACUACAUCUCUGAGUGUCCCCAGUGGGACAAUGAGAACAAGAAGAAGAAGAAGAAGAGCAAGGAAUAUGAUUCUGAUGACAAGAAGAAGAAGAAAUCCUCAAAGUCUUCUUCCAAGUCUUCGUCCAAGUCUUCAUCACAUAAGAAGAGCUCAUCUGGCAAGGCUCGUGCUUUUGUUGGCAAGGAAAUGGAUUUAGAGGAGGAGUCUGCUUCUGAGGAGGCGGAGGUGGAGUCUGGGGAGGAGUCCGACUCCGGCGUUGCAAGUCUGGCUCUAGCUACAGCCUACGUUGCCAAGUCCAUCUUCAACACUGAAUACAAUGGCUCCGUCACCAACGCUGAUGCUAAUGACAAGGACGACUCCGCUCCCACCUACUGCUUCAUGGCACGCGGUGCCAAGGUAAACUUACGUGAUGCUUACUUUCAAACAUCAAGUGAAGAUGACUCUGAUUGUGAAUCCAAACCCAGCUACAAAACACUUGCUAAAAUUGCAACUGAACAACAGAAAGCUAUGGAACAUAUUCAAAAACUGCUAGACAAAAGUGAUGACCUGUUGGACGCGGAAAUGACCCGAUCUCAAUCCUUAAUUGAAGACAUAAAAAAUCUUCAUGUUAAGUACGAGGAACUUGAAAGUCGUCAUGAAACGCUCUAAACAACUCAUGAAAAGCUUUCCUACGAUUAUCUUCAAAGGAAGCAAGAACUUGAGAAAUUGAGAGCGGCUCAUGAAGAUCUUCAAAAAGAGAAUGAGUCACUUCGCGCUCAACAGAUCAGUCCCGCUCAGGAAGGAUUUGAACCACCAUGUCUAAAAUGCCUUGAGCAUGAUAACGCUACUUCUGUUGCUGAAUGCUCUACUGCUGCUACUGUUGCAAUAUCUUCAACUGUUGAUGUGGUAACUAACCCCUCUGCUGAGGAUGCCACCACUAUUGCUGAUGAAAAUGCUAGGUUGAAGACAUUGCUUGAAACAGGGAUGUACAAAAGUCUCAAAGGGCAUCAGACACUGUGCGAUGUCCUCAAAAAACAGAUUCUGAACCGAAACCCUAGGAAAGAGGUGAUAAACCACAAGUAUAGGGGAUCGCAAUAGUUUUCGAGGGUAGAGUAUUCAACCCAAAUUUAUUGAUUCGACACAAGGGGAGCCAAAGAAUAUUCUCAAGUAUUAGCAGCUGAGUUGUCAAUUCAACCACACCUGGAUAACUUAAAAUCUGCAGCAAAGUAGUAUGGAAGUAACGGUAGCGGUAGCAAAAGUAAUAUUUUUGGGUUUUGUAGUGAUUGUAACAGUAGCAACGGAAAAGUAAAUAAGCGAAGAACAAUAUGUGAAAAGCUCGUAGGCAUUGGAUUGGCGAUGGAGAAUUAUGCCGGAUACGGUUCAUCAUGUAACAGUCAUAACAUAGGGUGACACAGAACUAGCUCCAAUUCAUCAAUGUAAUGUAGGCAUGUAUUCCGAAUAUAGUCAUACGUGCUUAUGGAAAAGAACUUGCAUGACAUCUUUUGUCCUACCCUCCCGUGGCAGCGGGGUCCUAAUGGAAACUAAGGUAUAUUAAGGCCUCCUUUUAAUAGAGUACCGGACCAAAGCAUUAACACAUAGUGAACACAUGAACUCCUGAAACUAUGGUCAUCACCGGGAGUGGUCCCGAUUAUUGUCACUUCGGGGUUGCCGGAUCGUAACACAUAGUAGGUGACUAUAGACUUGCAAGGUAGGAUCAAGAACUCACAUAUAUUCAUGAAAACAUAAUAGGUUCAGAUCUGAAAUCAUGGCACUCGGGCCCUAGUGACAAGCAUUAAGCAUAGCAAAGUCAUCGCAACAUCAAUCUCAGAACAUAGUGGAUACUAGGGAUCAAACCCUAAUAAAACUAACUCGAUUACAUGAUAAAUCUCAUCCAACCCAUCACCGUCCAGCAAGCCUACGAUGGAGUUACUCACGCACGGCGGUGAGCAUCAUGAAAUUGGUGAUGGAGGAUGGUUGAUGAUGACGACGGCGACGGAUUCCCCUCUCCGGAGCCCCGAACGGACUCCAGAUCAGCCCUCCCGAGAGAGUUUAGGGCUUGGCGGCGGCUCCGUAUCGUAAAACGUGAUGAAUCCUUCUCUCUGAUUUUUUUCUCCCCGAACACGAAUAUAUGGAGUUGGAGUUGAGGUCGGUGGAGCAACAGGGGGCCCGCGAGGCAGGGGGCGCGCCCAGGGGGGCAGGCGCGCCCCCACCCUCGUGGACAGGUGGUGGGCCCCCGGCCUUGAUUCUUUCGCCAAUAUUUUUAUUAUUUUCCAAAAAUAAGUUCCGUGGAGUUUCAGGUCAUUCCGAGAACUUUUGUUUCUGCACAUAAAUAACACCAUGGCAAUUCUGCUGAAAACAGCGUCAGUCCGAGUUAGUUCCAUUCAAAUCAUGCAAGUUAGAGUCCAAAACAAGGGCAAAAGUGUUUGGAAAAGUAGAUACGACGGAGACGUAUCAAGAGGGUGUUGGGUUCGAGAGGAAAAUGAAUGCUGAUGGUUCUUACUGGAAACCUGAGCAAUACCCUAAAACCAAACGGGUUGCUGCAAAGGAACCUUGAGUGGAUCCAUCCACCUUAUCUGGCUUCACUUGUGCUAACCCCGUUAUCAUUGAUGAAUCCAUUGAUGCAAACUAUAAACUGUAUAAGAAUCAGAAUGGUGAAGUAUUUGCCAGGUAUAUUGGUACUAACUGCAGGAAUGGGCCACCUAUGAAGAAGAUCUGGGUACGCAAAAGCUGUCUUGAGAAUCUUCUUGUGAAUGUCAUCAUGACAACACAAGGGAAGAAGACAAACCCCAGACCAAAGGCUUCAUAUGGUCCAAAGGCUUCAUACAGACACAUGACUCACCUGAGUUACCCUAACGCCAAUGUUUGUAGGGAAAUCAUACUCAGAUGUACGAAUAUGAGCGUGUUUCCUCAAACCGCUAUGUUCAUAAGACCAAGAACUUUUCUGCUUAUUCAUAUGAGUAUUAUUCUCCUCCUGCAAGGCUAUUUGCUAGGGCUCCAAAGCCGAAGUUCUCAGAUGCUGCACUUAGACUCAUUGCUUCUAAGCCACCCCUGAAGAUGUGGGUGGUUAAGAAGAAUUAACUUUCUUUUGCAGGGAAAGGUCUCCAGCCGGAAAUCAAAGGCGUCCGAUGCUAUUGUUGGGGACCUAAAACAUCUUGUUGGGCGCAAGACAAAAUGCCCAAAUGGUCUCACUGUGUAUUUUGUUCCUGAAUCACUUGCCAAACAUCCUAUAAGUCCUAACCUUGAUCUGAGCUUUGAUAAUCCACUUGUCCGUCAAAUUUUUAUGCUUCACAAUACUCUUGGUGAAGCCUAUCCCCCUAACUUUACUGUAGGGUAUGACACCAAAGUCUUCAAAAUGGAUUAUGGACAGCUGAUGCACUAAUCAUAUGACUGGUGAUCGAAGUCUUCUCAUGGACUCAACCUAACGUCCAUCUGACAAGAGUCACAUCACAUUUGCUGACACUAGUAAAAGCAAGGUAUUGGGUCUAGGUAGAGUUGCAAUCUCAAAGGAUCAGCACAUGGAUAAAGUGAUGCUUGUUGAAUCCCUUGGUUUCAACUUAAUGUCUGUCUCAAUGCUUUGUGACUUGAACAUGAUUGUGAUAUUUGGAAAAUAUCGUUGCCAUGUACUAAUGGAAUCUGACAAGUCUCUAGUCUUUGAAGGGUAUCGGAAAGAUGAUUUGUACAUGGUAGAUUUCUUAGCAGGACCACAGCUUGUCGUAUGUCUUCUAGCAAAAGCUUCAUAGUGCUGGCUCUGGCAUCGGAGGCUAGGGCAUGCUGGCAUGAGGAACCUGUACACUCUCGCAAAGAAGAAGCACGUCAUAGGCAUCGAGGGCGUCAAGUUCAAGAAGGAUCACUUAUGCGGUGCCUUUGAAGCUGGAAAGAUGACAAGGGCCAAGCAUCCCUCGAAGACAAUCAUGACGACAUCUCAACCCUUCGAUCUGCUACACAUGGACCUAUUUGGCCCUACUCACUACUCCACUCUCACUAUUUUCAUUGGUCAACAUAUUAUUCAAUAGAAUUUCAGCUUCAUCCGGUGUUCUUUCCCUGAAAACAGAACCAGCACAACUAUCCAGGUAAUCUCUGGAAGCAUCGGUUAGCCCAUUAUAAAACAUAUCAAGUAUUUCAUGUUUCUUCAGAGGAUGAUCAGGCAAAGCAUUAAGUAAUUGGAGAAGCCUCCCCCAAGCUUGUGGGAGACUCUCUUCUUCAAUUUGCACAAAAUUAUAUAUUUCCCUUAAAGCAGCUUGUUUCUUAUGAGCAGGGAAAUAUUUAGCAGAGAAGUAAUAAAUCAUAUCCUGGGGACUACGCACACAACCAGGAUCAACAGAAUUAAACCAUAUCUUUUCAUCACCCUUUAAUGAGAACGGAAAUAUUUUAAGGAUAUAAAAGUAGCGAGUUCUCUCAUCAUUAGUGAACAGGGUGGCUAUAUCAUUUAAUUUAGUAAGAUGUGCGACAACAGUUUAAAAUUCAUAGCCAUAGAAAGGAUCAGACUCAACCAAAGUAAUUAUAUCAGGAUCAACAGAGAAUUCAUAAUCCUUAUCAGUAACAAAGAUAGGUGAAGUAGCAUAAGCAGGAUCAUAUUUCAUUCUAGCAUUCAGAGUUUUUUGUUUAAGCUUAGCUAAUAAUUUCUUAAGAUCACUUCUAUCAUUGCAAGCAAGAAAGUCUCUUUUAGUUUCUUCAUCCAUAACAUAGCCCUCAGGCACAACAGGCAAUUCAUAUUUAUUAGGGGGAGAGUCUUCAUCAUCACUAUCAUCAAUAUUAUCUGUUUCAAUAAUUUCAUUCUCUCUAGCCCUAGCAAGUUGUUCAUCAAUAAAUUCACCAAGUGGCACAGUAGUGUCAAGCAUAGAAGUAGUUUCAUCAUAAGUAUCAUGCAUAGCAGAAGUGGCAUCAUCAAUAACAUGCGACAUAUCAGAAUUAAUAGCAGAAGCAGGUUUAGGUGUCGCAGGCUUACUCAAAACAGAAGGUGAAUCAAGUGCAGAGCUAGAUGGCAGUUCCUUACCUCCCCUCGUAGUUGAGGGAUAAAUUUUUGUUUUCUCGUCUUUCAAGUUCCUCAUAGUGACCAGCAGAUAUAAAUCCCAUGUGACUCAAAGAAUAGAGCUAUGCUCCCCGGCAACGGCGCUAGAAAAUAGUCUUGAUAACCCACAAGUAUAGGGGAUCGCAACAGUUUUUGAGGGUAGAGUAUUCAACCCAAAUUAAUUGAUUCGACACAAGGGGAGCCAAAGAAUAUUCUCAAGUAUUAGCAGCUGAGUUGUCAAGUCAACCACACCUGGAUAACUUAAAAUCUGCAGCAAAGUAUUUAGUAGCAAAGUAGUAUGGAAGUAACGGUAGCGGUAGCAAAAGUAAUAUUUUUGGGUUUUGUAGUGAUUGUAACAGUAGCAACGGAAAAGUAAAUAAGCGAAGAACAAUAUGUGAAAAGCUCGUAGGCAUUGGAUCGGCGAUGGAGAAUUAUGCCGGAUGCGGUUCAUCAUGUAACAGUCAUAACAUAGGGUGACACAGAACUAGCUCCAAUUCAUUAAUGUAAUGUAGGCAUGUAUUCCGAAUAUAGUCAUACAUGCUUAUGGAAAAGAACUUGCAUGACAUCUUUUGUCCUACCCUCCAUGGCAGCGGGGUCCUAAUGGAAACUAAGGGAUAUUAAGGCCUCCUUUUAAUAGAGUAACGUACCAAAGCAUUAACACAUAGUGAAUACAUGAACUCCUCAAACUACGGUCAUCACCGGGAGUGGUCCAGAUUAUUGUCACUUCGGGGUUGCCGGAUCAUAACACAUAGUAGGUGACUAUAGACUUGCAAGAUAGGAUCAAGAACUCACAUAUAUUCAUGAAAACAUAAUAGGUUCAGAUCUGAAAUCAUGGCACUCGGGCCCUAGUGACAAGCAUUAAGCAUAGCAAAGUCAUAGCAACAUCAAUCUCAGAACAUAGUGGAUACUAGGGAUCAAACCCUAACAAAACUAACUCGAUUACAUGAUAAAUCUCAUCCAACCCAUCACCGUCCAGCAAGCCUAUGAUGGAAUUACUCAUGCACGGCGGUGAGCAUCAUGAAAUUGGUGAUGGAGGAUGGUUGAUGAUGACAACGGCGACGGAUUCCCCUCUCCGGAGCCCCGAACGGACUCCAGAUCAGCCCUCCCGAGAGAGUUUAGGGCUUGGCGGCGGCUCCAUAUCGUAAAACGUGAUGAAUCCUUCUCUUUGAUUUUUUUCUCCCCGAACACGAAUAUAUGGAGUUGGAGUUGAGGUCGGUGGAGCAACAGGGGGCCCACGAGGCAGGGGGCGCGCCCAGGGGGCAGGCGCGCCCCCACCCUCGUGGACAGGUGGUGGGCCCCUGGCCUUGAUUCUUUCGCCAAUAUUUUUAAUAUUUUCUAAAAAUAAGUUCCAUGGAGUUUCAGGUCAUUCCGAGAACUUUUGUUUCUGCACAUAAAUAACACCAUGGCAAUUCUGCUGAAAACAACGUCUGUCCGGGUUAGUUCCAUUCAAAUCAUGCAAGUUAGAGUCCAAAACAAGGGCAAAAGUGUUUGGAAAAGUAGAUACGACGGAGACGUAUCAACUCCCCCAAGCUUAAACCUUUGCUUGUCCUCAAGCAAUUGAGUUGAUAAACUGAAAGUGAUAAAGAAAAACUUUUACAAACUCUGUUUGCUCUUGUUGUUGUAAAUAUGUAAAGCCAGCAUUCAAGUUUUCAGCAAAGAUUAUAACUAACCAUAUUCACAAUAACACUUAGGUCUCAUGUUUACUCAUAUCAAUGGCAUAAUCAACUAGCGAGCAAUAAUAAUAAAUCUAGGAUGACAACACUUUCUCAAAACAAUCAUGAUAUGAUAUAACAAGAUGGUAUCUCACUAGCCCUUUCUGAGACCGCAAAACAUAAAUGCAGAGCACCUUUAAAGAUCAAGGACUGACUAAACAUUGUAAUUCAUGGUAAAAGAGAUCCAAUCAUAGUCAUACCCAAUAUAAAUUAAUAGUAAUGGAUGCAAAUGACAGCAGUGCUCUCCAGCUAGUGCUUUUUAAUAAGAGGGUGAUGACUCAACAUAAAAGUAAAUAGAUAGGCCCUUCGCAGAGGGAAGCAGGGAUUUGUAGAGGUGCCAGAGCUCGGUUUUAAAGCAGAGAUAAAUAAUAUUUUGAGCGGCAUACUUUCAUUGUCAACAUAACAACCAAGAGAUGGCGAUAUCUUCCAUGCUACACACAUUAUAGGCGGUUCCCAAACAGAAUGGUAAAGUUUAUACUCCCCCUCCACCAACAAGCAUCAAUCCAUGGCUUGCUUGAAACAACGAGUGCCUCCAACUAACAACAGUCCCGGGGGAGUUUUGUUUGCAAUUAUUUUGAUUUGAUUUGCAUAAAGCAUGGGACUGGGCAUCCCGGUGACCAGCCAUUUUCUCGUGAGUGAGGAGCGGACUCCACUCCUCUUGAGAAUAACCCGCCUAGCAUGGAAGAUACAGACAACCCUAGUUGAUACAUGAGCUAUUCGAGCAUACAAAACAGAAUUUCAUUUGAAGUUUUAGAGUUUGGCACAUACAAAUUUACUUGGAACGGCAGGUAGAUACCGCAUAUAGGAAGGUAUAGUGGACUCAUAUGGAAUAACUUUGGGGUUUAAGGGAUUGGAUGCAUAAGCAGUAUUCCCGCUUAGUACAAGUGAAGGCUAGCAAAAGACUGGGAAGCGACCAACUAGAGAGCGACAAUAGUCAUGAACAUGCAUUAAAAUUAAUAAACAUUGAGUGCAAGCAUGAGUAGGAUAUAAUCCACCAUGAACAUAAAUAUCGUGAAGGCUAUGUUGAUUUGUUUCAACUACAUGUGUGAACAUGUGCCAAGUCAAGUCACUUGAAUCAUUCAAAGGAGGAUACCACCCCAUCAUACCACAUCACAACCCUUUUAAUAGCAUGUUGGCACGCAAGGUAAACCAUUAUAACUCAUAGCUAAUCAAGCAUGGCACGAGAAACUAUGAUCUCUAAUUGUCAUUGCAAGCAUGUUUAUUCAUAAUAGGCUGAAUCAGGAACGAUGAACUAAUCAUAUUUACAAAAACAAGAGAGGUCGAGUUCAUACCAGCUUCUCUCAUCUCAAUCAGUCCAUCAUAUAUCGUCAUAAUUGCCUUUCACUUGCACAACCGAAUGAUGUGAAUAAUAAUAAGAGUGCACGUGCAUUGGACUAAGCUGGAAUCUGCAAGCAUUCAAUAAACAGGAGAAGACAAGGCAAUAUGGGCUCUUGGGUAAUUCAACAAUAAUGCAUAUAAGAGCCGCUUCAACAUUUUAAUUAUGGUCUUCUCCUAUCGACCCCCAAAGAAAAGAAAAGAAAUAAAACUAUUUACACGGGAAAGCUCCCAAGAAGCAAAAGAAGAACGGGAAAUAUUUUUGGGUUUUCUUUUAAUUAUUACUACUACAGCAAGAAAGUAAACUAACUAAAAGCUACAACUAAUUUUUUUGGUUUUUCUUAAGGUUUAUCAAACACACAAGAAGAAAGCAAGAAAAAGAAAAUAAACUAGCAUGGAUAGUGCAAUGAAAAAUUAUGAGCACCGACAUCUAGAAAUGAGUGUGUAAACAUAAAUGUAAUGUCGGUGGGAAAUACGUACUCCCCCAAGCUUAGGCUUUUGGCCUAAGUUGGUUUAUUGCCACGGAUGGCCUGGCAGAUAUCCAUAGUUGUAGUUGGGGUCGUACUGAGAUGUAGCGGCUAUUGCAUCGUGGGCUGCAGCUUGGGGGCGAGCUGCCCUCGUCCUCCUUUCGUACUCAUUUGCCUCCUCUCUGGUUAUAAAAUGUCUCCCUUUUGCCUGAAAGUCAAAGAGAGCAGGAGCAGGGAGAACAAUACUGACGGCGUGACGCCUGUCAAAGAUUAGUCGGUACUGGAGAGGCGGUUCAUUCCUCUCAACAAACUGAUGGUGAACCAUAGCAUUAAAGUCUAGAUAAAUAGGAGGCAAUUCAAUAUCAUCAUCACGUAUGGUUACACCAAGAAAAUCAGCUAAGCGGGUUGCAUAAAUUCCACCAAAGAAAUCUCCAUUAAAUCUAUUAUGAUGCAACCUACGUGCAACAAUGGCUCCCAAAUUAUAAGAUUUAUCUCCUAACACAGCACUCCUGAGAACACUGAGGUCAGGGACACACAUAUGACAUGCUUCAUCUUUACCAUUUAUGCACCUACCUAUGAAGAGAGCAAAAUAAUGUAUAGCAGGAAAAUGAAUGCUCCCUAUGGUAGCUUGGGCUAUAUCACUAGAUUCCCCCACAGUUAUACUAGCAAGAAAAUCUCUAAAUUCAGAUUUGCGAGGUUCACUAGCACUACCCCAUUGUGGAAGUUUGCAAGCAGUGGUAAAAUCCUCUAAGUCCAUAGUAUAAGAUUUUUCAUAAAGAUCAAACAGGACAGUUUGAGAAUUGCGUGAAGAUGAAAAUUCAAACCUCAUCACAAAGGAACUAGUGAGAUAGUGGUACUGGCGGCACUUUUCUGCCUCGGAGCUCACAAGAUCGGCGUUACGCAAAUAUGCGUUAAAUUCUUCCUUGAUUCCCGCUCGAUCCAUGAAGUCCUCUGAAGGCCAUUCACAAGGCCGCACUGGAGCGUUCCUUGGUGGCUCAUCAUCAGCAUCACGCAUUGCAAGCCUGGGUCCUUGCUUCCUUGAAGAACCACCUUGGUACAUUUUCCUAAACAUAUUUCUUCCUCUGCAACAUUUCUGAAAUGUUUAGUAACUUCAAAUAAAAGUGAACCAAGCUCAACAAAAUUGAUAGCAACUACUCCUACAAGUGCCUAGGGCCUAUAUCAUGCAUUAGAACUACUUGAAACCAUAUAAAUUUGACAUGCAAGCUCGAGAACAUGGUCACCUAGGCAGCACAAAUUUGCAAUGAAUAAGGCACUAGAACAAAAACUAAUUGGACCAAUGGAGGAGUCACAUACCAAGGAACAAUCCCCCCAAGCAGUUUUGUGAGAAGUGCUUUGAGCAAGGAGAUCGAAUAUCGCAGCAAAAUGAGCUAGAACUCGUGCUUGAGCUGGAUGGUGAUUUUUUUGGGAGGAAGAAAAAGUGUGUGGUGGCUGGCAUAAGUGGAGGGGAGCCACCAUGGGCCCACGAGGCAGGGGGGGCGCCCUGUAGGGGUGGGCGGGCCCUGGACCCUCGUGGACGGGUGCUUGCUCCCCCCGUUGUGUUCUUAGUGCCAGAUAUUCUCAAAUAUUCCAGAAAAAAUCAUAUUAAAUUGGCAGGGCAUUUGCAGAACUUUUAUUUUCGGGGUAUUUUUAUAUUGCACGGAUAAUUCAGAAAACUGACAGAAAAUACUAUUUUUUUACUUUAUUUCAACUAAAUAACAGAAAGUAGAGAGAGGGUACUGAAGGUUGUGCCUUCUAACUUCAUCCAUCUCAUGCUCAUCAAAAGGAAUCCACUAACAAGGUUGAUCAGGUCUUGUUAACAAACUCAUUCCGACUAACAUGGAACCGGAGAAAUUUUGAAUAACACUAUGUUACCUCAAUGGGGAUAUGCACAUCCCCAAUAAUAAGAAUAUCAUAUUUCUUCUUGACAGUAGGAUGAGGAAAUUCAAAACCUCCAAAAAUAAUCGAUGGAAUUUUUCCAAUAGAAUUGAUACUGUGGACCUGAGGUUGUUUCCUCGGAAAGUGUACCGUAUGUCCAUUACCAUUAACAUGAAAAGUGACAUUGCCCUUGUUGCAGUCAAUAACAGCCCUUGCAGUAUUCAAAAAGGGUCUUCCAAGAAUAAUAGACAUACUAUCGUCCUCGGGAAUAUCAAGAAUAACAAAGUCCGUUAAAAUAGUAACGUUUGCAACCACAACAGGCACAUCCUCACAAAUACCGACAGGUAUAGCAGUUGAUUUAUCGGCCAUUUGCAAAGAUAUUUCAGUAGGUGUCAACUUAUUCAAAUCAAGUCUAUGAUAUAAAGAAAGAGGCAUAACACUAACACCGGCUCCAAGAUCGCAUAAAGCAGUUCUAACAUAGUUUCUUUUAAUAGAGCAUGGUAUAGUGGGUACUCCUGGAUCUCCAAGUUUCUUUGGUAUUCCACCCUUAAAAGUAUAGUUAGCAAGCAUGGUGGAAAUUUCAGCUUCCGGUAUCUUUCUUUUAUUAGUGACAAUUUCUUUCAUAUACUUAGCAUAAGGAUUCAUUUUGAGCAUAUCAGUCAAUCGCAUACGCAAGAAGAUAGGUCUAAUCAUUUUAGCACAACGCUCAAAAUUCUCAUCAUCCUUUUUCUUGGAUGGUUUGGGAGGAAAAGGCAUGGGUUUCUGAACCCAUGGUUCUCUUUCUUUACCAUGUUUCCUAGCAACAAAGUCUCUCUUAUCAUAACAUUGAUUCUUUGAUUGUGGGUUAUCAAGAUCAACAACAGGUUCAAUUUCUACAUCAUUAUCAUUAGUAGGUUGAGCAUCAACAUGAACAUCAUCAUUAACAUUUUCAUUAGGUUCAUGUUCAUUACCAGAAUGUGUUUCAGCAUCAGAAAUAGAAAUAUCAUUUGGAUUCUCAGGUGGUUCAACAACAGGUUCACUAGAAGCAUGCAAAGUCCUAUCAUUUUUCUUUUUCUUAUUUUUAGAAGGACUAGGUGCAUCAAUAUUAUUUCUCUGAGAGUCCUGCUCAAUUCUCUUAGGGUGGCCUUCAGGAUACAAAGGUUCCUGAGUCAUUUUACCGGUUCUAGUAGCCACUCUAACAGCAUAGUCAUUAUUCUUACUAUUCAAUUCAUUGAGCAAAUCAUUCUGAGCUUUAAGUACUUGUUCUAAUUGAGUGGUGACCAUAGAAGCAUGUUUACUAAUGAGUUUAAGUUCACCUUUAACUCUAGACAUAUAAUCACCCAAGUGUUCAAUCGUAUAAGCAUUUUGUUUCAAUUGUCUACCAAAAUAAGCAUUAAAAUCUUCUUGCUUAACCAUAAAGUUAUCAAAUUCAUCCAAACAUUGGCUAGCAAACUUAGUAGGAGGGAUUUCAGCUUUAUCAUAUCUAUAAAGAGAAUUUACCUUUACUACCUGUGUCGGGUUAUCAAGACCAUGAGUUUCUUCAAUAGGUGAUGGAUUAAGACCAUAUACUUCUUCAACUGGCGGUGAAUUAAGACCAUGUAUUUCUUCAAUAGGAGGUAAAUUCUUAACAUCUUCAGCUUUAAUACCUUUUUAUUUCAUAGAUUUCUUUGCCUCUUGCAUAUCUUUAGGACUGAGAAAUAGAACACCCCUCUUCUUCGGAGUUGGUUUAGGAAUAGGCUCAGGAAGUGUCCAAUUAUUUUCAUUGGUCAACAUAUUAUUCAAUAGAAUUUCAGCUUCAUCCGGUGUUCUUUCCGUGAAAACAGAACCAGCACAACUAUCCAGGUAAUCUCUGGAAGCAUCGGUUAGCCCAUUAUAAAACAUAUCAAGUAUUUCAUGUUUCUUCAGAGGAUGAUCAGGCAAAGCAUUAAGUAAUUGGAGAAGCCUCCCCCAAGCUUGUGGGAGACUCUCUUCUUCAAUUUGCACAAAAUUAUAUAUUUCCCUUAAAGCAGCUUGUUUCUUAUGAGCAGGGAAAUAUUUAGCAGAGAAGUAAUAAAUCAUAUCCUGGGGACUACGCACACAACCAGGAUCAACAGAAUUAAACCAUAUCUUAGCAUCACCCUUUAAUGAGAACGGAAAUAUUUUAAGGAUAUAAAAGUAGCGAGUUCUCUCAUCAUUAGUGAACAGGGUGGCUAUAUCAUUUAAUUUAGUAAGAUGUGCGACAACAGUUUAAAAUUCAUAGCCAUAGAAAGGAUCAGACUCAACCAAAGUAAUUAUAUCAGGAUCAACAGAGAAUUCAUAAUCCUUAUCAGUAACAAAGAUAGGUGAAGUAGCAUAAGCAGGAUCAUAUUUCAUUCUAGCAUUCAGAGUUUUUUGUUUAAGCUUAGCUAAUAAUUUCUUAAGAUCACUUCUAUCAUUGCAAGCAAGAAAGUCUCUUUUAGUUUCUUCAUCCAUAACAUAGCCCUCAGGCACAACAGGCAAUUCAUAUUUAUUAGGGGGAGAGUCUUCAUCAUCACUAUCAUCAAUAUUAUCUGUUUCAAUAAUUUCAUUCUCUCUAGCCCUAGCAAGUUGUUCAUCAAUAAAUUCACCAAGUGGCACAGUAGUGUCAAGCAUAGAAGUAGUUUCAUCAUAAGUAUCAUGCAUAGCAGAAGUGGCAUCAUCAAUAACAUGCGACAUAUCAGAAUUAAUAGCAGAAGCAGGUUUAGGUGUCGCAGGCUUACUCAAAACAGAAGGUGAAUCAAGUGCAGAGCUAGAUGGCAGUUCCUUACCUCCCCUCGUAGUUGAGGGAUAAAUUUUUGUUUUCUCGUCUUUCAAGUUCCUCAUAGUGACCAGCAGAUAUAAAUCCCAUGUGACUCAAAGAAUAGAGCUAUGCUCCCCGGCAACGGCGCCAGAAAAUAGUCUUGAUAACCCACAAGUAUAGGGGAUCGCAACAGUUUUCGAGGGUAGAGUAUUCAACCCAAAUUAAUUGAUUCGACACAAGGGGAGCCAAAGAAUAUUCUCAAGUAUUAGCAGCUGAGUUGUCAAGUCAACCACACCUGGAUAACUUAAAAUCUGCAGCAAAGUAUUUAGUAGCAAAGUAGUAUGGAAGUAACGGUAGCGGUAGCAAAAGUAAUAUUUUUGGGUUUUGUAGUGAUUGUAACAGUAGCAACGGAAAAGUAAAUAAGCGAAGAACAAUAUGUGAAAAGCUCGUAGGCAUUGGAUCGGCGAUGGAGAAUUAUGCCGGAUGCGGUUCAUCAUGUAACAGUCAUAACAUAGGGUGACACAGAACUAGCUCCAAUUCAUUAAUGUAAUGUAGGCAUGUAUUCCGAAUAUAGUCAUACAUGCUUAUGGAAAAGAACAUGCAUGACAUCUUUUGUCCUACCCUCCAUGGCAGCGGGGUCCUAAUGGAAACUAAGGGAUAUUAAGGCCUCCUUUUAAUAGAGUAACGUACCAAAGCAUUAACACAUAGUGAAUACAUGAACUCCUCAAACUACGGUCAUCACCGGGAAUGGUCCCGAUUAUUGUCACUUCGGGCUUGCCGGAUCAUAACACAUAGUAGGUGACUAUAGACUUGCAAGAUAGGAUCAAGAACUCACAUAUAUUCAUGAAAACAUAAUAGGUUCAGAUCUGAAUCAUGGCACUCGGGCCCUAGUGACAAGCAUUAAGCAUAGCAAAGUCAUAGCAACAUCAAUCUCAGAACAUAGUGGAUACUAGGGAUCAAACCCUAAUAAAACUAACUCGAUUACAUGAUAAAUCUCAUCCAACCCAUCACCGUCCAGCAAGCCUACGAUGGAGUUACUCACGCACGGCGGUGAGCAUCAUGAAAUUGGUGAUGGAGGAUGGUUGAUGAUGACGACGGCGACGGAUUCCCCUCUCCGGAGCCCCGAACGGACUCCAGAUCAGCCCUCCCGAGAGAGUUUAGGGCUUGGCGGCGGCUCCGUAUCGUAAAACGUGAUGAAUCCUUCUCUCUGAUUUUUUUCUCCCCGAACACGAAUAUAUGGAGUUGGAGUUGAGGUCGGUGGAGCAACAGGGGGCCCGCGAGGCAGGGGCCGCGCCCAGGGGGCAGGCGCGCCCCCACCCUCGUGGACAGGUGGUGGGCCCCCGGCCUUGAUUCUUUCGCCAAUAUUUUUAUUAUUUUCCAAAAAUAAGUUCCGUGGAGUUUCAGGUCAUUCCGAGAACUUUUGUUUCUGCACAUAAAUAACACCAUGGCAAUUCUGCUGAAAACAACGUCAGUCCGAGUUAGUUCCAUUCAAAUCAUGCAAGUUAGAGUCCAAAACAAGGGCAAAAGUGUUUGGAAAAGUAGAUACGACGGAGACGUAUCAAGAGGGUGUUGGGUUCGAGAGGAAAAUGAAUGCUGAUGGUUGUUACUGGAAACCUGAGCAAUACCCCAAAACCAAACGGGUUGCUGCAAAGGAACCUUGAGUGGAUCCAUCCACCUUAUCUGGCUUCACUUGUGCUAACCCCGUUAUCAUUGAUGAAUCCAUUGAUGCAAACUAUAAACUGUUUAAGAAUCAGAAUGGUGAAGUAUUUGCCAGGUAUAUUGGUACUAACUGCAGGAAUGGGCCACCUAUGAAGAAGAUCUGGGUACGCAAAAGCUGUCUUGAGAAUCUUCUUGUGAAUGUCAUCAUGACAACACAAGGGAAGAAGACAAACCCCAGACCAAAGGCUUCAUAUGGUCCAAAGGCUUCAUACAGACACAUGACUCACUUGAGUUACCCUAACGCCAAUGUUUGCAGGGAAAUCAUACUCAGAUGUAUGAAUAUGAGCGUGUUUCCUCAAACCGCUAUGUUCAUAAGACCAAGAACUUUUCUGCUUAUUCAUAUGAGUAUUAUUCUCCUCCUGCAAGGCUAUUUGCUAGGGCUCCAAAGCCGAAGUUCUCAGAUGCUGCACUUAGACUCAUUGCUUCUAAGCCACCCCUGAAGAUGUGGGUGGUUAAGAAGAAUUAACUUUCUUUUGCAGGGAAAGGUCUCCAGCCGGAAAUCAAAGGCGUCUGAUGCUAUUGCUGGGGACCUAAAACAUCUUGUUGGGCGCAAGACAAAAUGCCCAAAUGGUCUCACUGUGUAUUUUGUUCCUGAAUCACUUGCCAAACAUCCUAUAAGUCCUAACCUUGAUCUGAGCUUUGAUAAUCCACUUGUCCGUCAAAUUUUUAUGCUUCACAAUACUCUUGGUGAAGCCUAUCCCCCUAACUGUACUGUAGGGUAUGACACCAAAGUCUUCAGAAUGGAUUAUGGACAGCGGAUGCACUAAUCAUAUGACUGGUGAUCGAAGUCUUCUCAUGGACUCAACCUUACGUCCAUCUGACAAGAGUCACAUCACAUUUGCUGACACUAGUAAAAGCAAGGUAUUGGGUCUAGGUAGAGUUGCAAUCUCAAAGGAUCAGCACAUGGAUAAAGUGAUGCUUGUUGAAUCCCUUGGUUUCAACUUAAUGUCUGUCUCAAUGCUUUGUGACUUGAACAUGAUUGUGAUAUUUGGAAAAUAUCGUUGCCUUGUACUAAUGGAAUCUGACAAGUCUCUAGUCUUUGAAGGGUAUCGGAAAGAUGAUUUGUACAUGGUAGAUUUCUCAGCAGGACCACAGCUUGUCGUAUGUCUUCUAGCAAAAGCUUCAUAGUGCUGGCUCUGGCAUCGGAGGCUAGGGCAUGCUGGCAUGAGGAACCUGUACACUCUCGCAAAGAAGAAGCACGUCAUAGGCAUCGAGGGCGUCAAGUUCAAGAAGGAUCACUUAUGCGGUGCCUGUGAAGCUGGAAAGAUGACAAGGGCCAAGCAUCCCUCAAAGACAAUCAUGACGACAUCUCAACCCUUCGAGCUGCUACACAUGGACCUAUUUGGCCCUACUCACUACUCCACUCUCACUACUACUGCUUGUCUCUAUGGCGUCGUCAUUGUUUAUGAUUAUUCGAGAUAUACGUGGGUGCAUAUAAUUCUCUACAAGACUGAAGUGCAGGAUGUCUUCAGACGCUUCGCCAACCGUGCCAUGAAUAACUAUGGCAUCAAGAUCAAGCAUACCAGAAGUGACAAUGGCACAGAGUUCAAGAACACCGGCCUCGACCUUUACCUAGAUACAUUGGGCAUCACUCAUGAGUUCUCCGCUCCAUAUACACCUCAGCAGAAUGGCAUCGUGGAGCGCAAGAACAGAACACUCAUUGAGAUGGAUUGGACGAUGCUUGAUGAAUACAAGACUCCAAGAAAGUUCUGGCCUGAAGCCAUUGAUACUGCAUGUCACGUCAUCAACCGAGUUUAUCUUCACAAACUUCUGAAGAAGACAUCCUAUGAGCUCCUGACUGGUAAAAAGCCAAAUGUAAGUUACUUCAGAGUAUUUGGUGCUAGGUGCUGGGUCAAGGAUCCACAUCACACUUCAAAAUUUGCACCGAAAGCACAUGAAGGUUUUAUGCUUGGUUACGGAAUGGAUUCGCACUCCUACAGAGUCUUCAACCUCUUUCACUAUAAAGUGGUUGAAACUGUAGAUGUGCGGUUCGAUGAAACUAACGGCUCGCAAAGAGAGCACCUGCCAAAAUGUGAUAGAUGAAGUUCCACCUAGUGAAUCCAUCAAGCUUAUGGGAACUGGAGAAAUCAUACCGUCUGAAGCUCAGGCUGAAGAUGAACUUAUCAUUUCUGCACCUAAUCAACCUGAAGACAAUGCUCAGCCUGAAGACAAUCCUCCUAAUGAUGACAACGAUCAGCAAGAGAAAAAUCUUCAUCCAGUUCAUCCUCGUGUUGCAAAUGAAGUACAGAUUGAGAAGAUAAUUGAUAGCAUCAAUGCACCUGGUCCACUCACCCGUUCAAGAGCAACACAGCUAGCAAAUUUCUAUGGGCACUUUGCAAUUGUCUCAAUAUUAGAACCCAAGAAAGUUGCUGAAGCCUUCAUGGAACCUGAAUGGAUUCAAGCUAUGCAAGAAGAGCUUCAAUAGUUCAAGCUGAACAAUGUGUGGGAACUAGUCAAGCGUCCUGAUCCUCACAAGAACAACAUAAUAGGCACCAAAUGGAUAUAUCACAACAAGCAAGAUGAGCAUGGUCAAGUUGUCAGAAACAAGGCUCGUCUCGUUGGCCAAGGAUACACUCAAGUUGAAGGGAUUGACUUCGAUGAAACAUUUGCUCCUGUGGCAAGGCUUGAAGCUAUUUGCAUACUGCUAGCCUAUGCAAAUCAUCACAACAUCCUUCUGUAUCAAAUGGAUGUGAAGAGUGCGUUUCUCAAUGGCAAGAUUGAAGAAGAAAUGUAUGUUGCACAACCACCUGGCUUUGAAGAUCCAAAACAUCCUGAUAUGGUAUACAAGCUCAACAAGGCAUUGUAUGGCCUCAAAUAAGCCCCUCGCGCUUGGUACGACACACUCAAAGAUUUCCUGAAGAGCAAAGGCUUCAAACCUGGUUCCCUGGAUCCCACACUCUUCACGAAGACAUAUGAUGGUGAACUGUUUGUGUGCCAAAUAUAUGUGGAUGACAUUAUCUUCGGCUGCACUAACCAGAAAUACAGUGAUGAGUUUGGACACAUGAUGCAAGAGCAAUAUCAAAUGUCCAUGAUGGGUGAGCUGAAAUUCUUCCUUGGUCUUCAAAUUCAUCAACAAAGCAACGGCAUCUUCAUAUCUCAAGAAAAAUACCUCAAAGACUGCCUGAAGAAGUUUGGAAUGCAAGACUGCAGAGGUUACACGACGCCAAUGCCAACUAAAAGUCAUCUGAGUCCUGACGCCAAUGGUAAAGAGUUUGAUCAAAAGGUAUACUGCUCCACGAUUGGUUCUUUACUUUAUUUAUGUGCAUCUAGGCCAGAUAUAAUGCUUAGUGUUUGCAUGUGUGCCCGAUUCCAAGCGACACCAAAGGAAUCGCAUCACUUAGCAGUGAAGCGGAUUCUUCGAUAUUUGGUUUACACCCCAACACUAGGAUUAUGGUAUCCAAAGGGCUCAGAGUUUGAUCUAGUUGGAUUCUCGGAUGCGGAUUAUGCUGGUGACAAGGUGGAUUGCAAGUCUACAUUAGGCACAUGUCACUUUCUGGGACGAUCACUUGUUUGUUGGUCUUCAAAGAAGCAGAACUGUGUAUCUCUCUCCACUGCUGAAUCUGAAUACAUUGCUGCUGGAUCUUGCUGCGCUCAGCUUCUAUGGAUGAAGCAAACACUCAAGGACUAUGGCAUCCAUCUGAAGCAAGUACCACUCUACUGCGACAAUGAAAGCGCCAUCAAGAUUGCCAACAACCCAGUUCAGCACUCGAAGACAAAGCACAUUGAAAUUCGUCAUCACUUUCUCAGAGAUCAUGUUAUGAAGGAAGAUAUUGAUAUCAUUCAUGUCAACAUAGAAGAGCAACUGGCAGAUAUCUUCACAAAGCCCUUGGAUGAGAAAGAUUUUGCAAGUUGCGGUGUGAGCUAAAUAUCUUGGAAUCCUCAAAUGUCCUGUGAUCAGGCACACAUCCUAACACUUAUGCAUGUUGAUGACUUAGAUGUGCAACACACGAAGUAAUGUAUAUCUUCAAUCAAUGAAGACAUACACUCUGAGUGUGAAUACAUUAAUGUGGAAUUUGACUUCGGUGCACCACGAUAAUUGUGCGCCGUGUCCGGGUCUAAUACUUCCUAUACGGUGGGUAACGCCACCACCAAAUUCUUAUUUGGAGUGUUUUCUCUUGGCGUUACAUUUGCUAAGUCUUUGCAUUUGAUUUAUCUUCAACAUUGAUUUGUCUUCAUGAUGAUCUUCACUUUGAUGAUUUAGUCUCAAUCAGAUAUAUACAUAUAUUUGUGUUCUGUCCUCUACAUCAUUCACUUAUAGCUAUGUCUUCUCGUUUGAAUCUUUUGAACUAAGUGAAUGUGAUCGGACCCUAACCUCUCUAUGCUUCCUUCUCAAAUCUAUCUAUCCAAAUCAUAUGCAUUCUAUUGAAACUGUCGAAUGUCUUCUCUGGAUCCUUGUCAGCAGAAGAUACAGAGACAAACAUUAAAUCUAUUUUAAAUGCUCAAUCCUAUUGCCUGAAACCCGGAGAAGCCGGAACGACCACCCGACAGUUCAGGCGUGCGUGGGAACAUGGAACAACUCCCAAUGUGUUGCAUGUUCGCCACGUGUCCCUCAGAUGUGAACCGCCAGGGGCACCUGCGUAAUUGCGCUGUGUUGUCCCUCUCCUUAUAAAUACACAUCACAUCGUGGUCAAAAUACUUCUUCCACCUCUCCACCUCAGACAAACCCUAGCGCCACCGCUAGCUCUCGACGACGCCGGCGACGAAGCGCUUAGCUGCCGCGACCUCACCGACGCUGUCUUCACGCCGGCCGCAGACAUCGUCUUCUCCGCCGCCGCCGUAGGUGUCCUCCGUCGCCAAGUUAGGGCACGGAAGAUCGAACUGCUCGGCCUCAUCUUCUACUCCGUCUAGCAGUUCAUCAUGUGGUAAAUUAAAACUCUCUUCUUACUGUCUUUUUGAUCCGAUGGAUUCAUCUUUCCUUACCAAAAGUAGUUUCUGCCUCCACAAGUUGGAUCUAUCCUGUUCUGCAUCUCAUAAUAUGCCUAGUAUAUUCACUUAUGCUUCACACAUAGUUAGAUUCCUCACUUGUACCUAUUCUUGGAUUCGUACAAAUCUGGAACCAACUCUCAACAUAUAAGUGAAUGUCUUCGCGCUAUGAGGUCAAUGUCUUCUAAACUGAUUUAUCUUCAAAAUCUUCUGAGAAUGCAUAUGACCUCUUCCCCUUCCCUCGCAUCUCUAAUGCUGUCACAGGUACAUGUCCGUGGGAGAAUCCCUUGGUUCUCAUAGUCUGCAUUCAUUUGCAGAAUUCUUACAGCAUCACAUUAAUUCUCCCGAAGCUAGUUCUUGUCUGACCAGCAGACGGAAGACUCUGACAGCGUUGAAGCCAUUCAGUCUGAACUUCAUGGCAACAGAAAAGUCCGCAAGGAAGGGAGGCAGACAUCGCCGUGGGGGGACAUCAGGGGAUUUGCCACCAGAUCUCUAUGAGUUGUACAAGACUGAUCCAGAAGAGGAUUACAAUCAGCACAAAACACGAAUCCAAUGGAUUCGAAGAUAUUGGGACGAGCAAUGGUUCAAAUACAGGUUUGUGACCCAGGAGUAUGCUGAGAAGAAUGCCAUCAAGAGUCCUUGGGGAGAUAUUCUCUUUCGAAAUCUUCAACCCAAGAACAGAGCUAAAGCCAUUGCUCAGGGUUUCUACCCCUGUAUGGUCCGUGGACCACAGCCUGCCAAUGCCGACCCAUCAUCAUUGCUAUGGUGUCGUGAAGAUAAUCUUUUCAAGCGCAAUUUUCAGCAUGCAAAGACAUCGGCCAAAGAGAACAAGAAGAGUCUCGGAUGCGAUUUCAACCCAGGGCCUUCUGCUCCGCGGGCUGAUGGCACACGAGAUGCCAAUCCAAAUGUCAUCGGCCCCUUCGACAACUUUGAUGGUCUCCUCUCCUACAUCGCUGCUCAGAGGGCCACGGUGGAUCAGUCUGGAGAUGAAGCUGAUUCUGAUGAGGCUCCUGCUCCACCAAAGCCUCAAAAGCAGAAGAAACCCAAGGCUUCAAAUCCCUCCUCUGCACCAAGAGCUUCGCGAGCGAAGCCUCUGGCCACUGCUCCUCCUGCACCUAGUGUGCAUUCUGAAGAUCUCUCUCGCAUCUCCAAGACAGAGAAGAAGAAGAAGCCCAUACAAACUACUGGUCAAGCACUAACCCCAGCUGCCGUUCUGAGGAAUGAGAACGGAGCCAUUGAUCUGUCUAGUGACAAUCAUCUUGGCGAUGAUGCUCUUGAGCUGCUGAUAAAGAGCAAGCAAGAGGCGGAAAUCUUCAACGAUCUUCCCCUUUUCGAUGUGGACAUCCUGAACAAGUUCAUUGAUGAAUGGUUUGACAGCCCAAACCUCAGCUUUGAUGAUCUUCAGCUUCCUGUUGGCCUCAGCGUUUCAUUCCAUGGAGCCAUUGCUCCUGAGCUGGCUCUUGCUCAAAGGAUUGUUGAGCUAAAGAACAAAAUUGACUAUGAAAAGGCUCAGUUCAAGAAGCAUAUGGCCAAGCUCAGUGUGAUUGAUGUCCAAAACUUCAAGCAAAUGAUGCAUGAGCUCAAGGAUGCGUUUCACAAGAAACGUGAUGAGCUAAAGGUUCACGCAAGCGCAUGAAACUCCUUGCUGCCAAAUGUGUUCAAGCUUACAAUGAAGCUGAGAAGCGCAAGGCACUUGGGCGUCCUGGCAUCGACCCCAAGAUGGCUACCAAGAAGAAGAAGAAGAAGCCUGCUGUGGACCAAGCUGAAGCAUCCAGGCGGGAGGAACCUCGCAUUGUCUUCCCCGCUAGUAUGACAGGCGUGAAGCCAAAGGUCCCCACAGUGGCUUCAGAUCUCAAGAAAACAAGGACAACCGAAGCCGAAGCCAGAAAGCGCAAGUCCAAGAACACCACUGAUGAAGCUCCACCAACCAAGAAGAGAAAAACCAAGAAGAAAGAUCGGACUGCUCCUACAGAGCCCCUCGUCGUCGAGCCAAUCUCAGUUGCUCGUCCUGCGUCUGCACACCAAGAGCGUCGGUUGAUAGUUCAUGAGCCUGCUACCACAGAGGCUCCUGAAACUGAAGAGAUUCCAGCUGUUGACCCCACCGCAGCUGAAGACAUUGGUCACCAAGACAAUGUAGAAGAUGAUGAAGUCCUUCCUCAGAUCGAGCACAAUGUGGUAUCAUCACCUGUUCUCACGAACCGCGAACUCAUCAGCAUUGGUCUUCCUUUGACGCAAGUGCUCAGGAUGAUUCAUGGGCUGAUCACCCUCAAGACUCCCCCGUGAAGAAGAAACACCAACUACUCCCCCAACUCAAGUCACCACUCCGGUACUUGAAGAUGAAGACUUUGUGGCCCAGACAACUCCAUCUCCACAAGCGUCGCCAGCGUUUCGCAGGCUUCGCAAAGGACCAAGGCCACAAGUCACUCUUUCGAGUGUUCCAGAAGGAGAAGAGCACCAAUCAGUAUCUCGCCAAGUAUUUCCUGAAGCCUCUCCAACUGUGAACAUCUCCGAGUCUGAAGCCAAAGCUGCUGAAGACAUUCCGGCUGCAUCAGCCGAUGAACAAGAAGAACCAAGACAAGAAGAAGAACGUGUUGCUACACCCCCGUCCAACCCUAAAGUUGUUCUCGAGGAGAACGUGUCCGACCCUCCAGCUACUCAAGUAGAGGUUAACAAUACUGAGGCGGCCACAAACAACACUACUGAAGCCGGUGACGUUGUCAUGGCUGAAGCUGAUGUGGCGCCAGAAGUUGUUGCACCUGAAGAAAAUCUGCAGCCUGACGUUAAUGCCAAUGCCACUGCUCCUAUACCGCCUCCAAGGCCACACACCAUUGAGCAAGCAUUCGAUCAAGGUCUGCUAGUCACUGUCAGAUGGCCCAUUCUGGUUCCUCCACCUGCUGCUAGUCCGCAAUUUGACUAUCAUGUAGAGCACAGGCCUCAGGUCCAGAAGCCUAAGCCAAGGUUGCCAAGGUUUCCAGGUACUGCAACUUCACCAGGAUCUUUCAAUGCAAAUGGCUUCAUUGCACACAACACCUUCUUUGAUAGUGCCAAGAACCCCUACUCCAAGCUAAGAAUUUCAUCUGAUCGGUUCUGGAGCUAUCAGCAGCACAGUUACUAUUCCUGUGUUCUCUAUGAUAAAGGGCGCAUCUUCCCACAUAUGUGUCUAGACUAUGAAGCUAUUGCUGGACUGCCCUGCUUAGAAGAAGCCCUUGACUGCUUCCAUGAUGCUGGUCUUCUGAACUUUGUGACUGAUAAAGAGCAUUGGAAUGAAGAUCUUAUGUUGCAAUUCUAUGCUACCCUCCACAUUCGCGGCUUCAACAGGGAUCCGAAGACAUGGAUCCUUGAGUGGAUGACAGGCAAUGUCCAUCACGAAGCCAAAGCUCUUGAUAUCAUUGAGCUAACUGGUCUGCCCACUCCAGGUGAACUCUUCGAGCCUGGUUGUCAGCUUCACCACAAUGCUUUGGAGAGCAUCUUUCAGAAGCCAGAGCCCAACAUGAGCCAAAUGCUGAGCAUGAUGAAGCCACUGCCACGCGACGCUGAAUACCCAAGAGAAUUCUUUGUUGAAGACCUAGAGUAUCUGCCCCACACUAUUUAUCAUAUCAUCAGGCGAACUCUAUGGCCUGUCAAAGGACAUUCUUCUUCAGCGAAGCUUGAAGGAGCAAUGAAGACAUUGGUCUUUUAUAUCUUCAAUGGCAUCAGCUUCAAUGCUCAAGACUUCUUCAUCAGGCAAUUGGCUGCAUCUGGCUCUGACCUCUUUAGUCUGAAGUUCUACGCCCCACGGGUUAUGCACCUUAUCAAGCUUCAUUCAGCUGUCAACUAUCAGCCCUCUGCACGCAACCAUCUGAUAUUCUCGCCAGAGGUUGAUAUGUCCACUGAAGCCAUCUACCCAGAGCCAGCCAAAGAGCAUGUUUAUCUUCACAAUGCUGAUCACCAAAGCUUCACACAGCCCAUUGAAGGAGUUCAAGCCGUCACUCGUGUUUAUCCUUUGGCUGGCAAUACACGUGCACCUCACCGUGCCCAUACUGAAGCCACUGAAAGCACUAUUGCUCAAAGGCCUCGGAAGCGAUCUCGUGUUCUCAAUGACCGAGAGCUUCUCGUCGCCCUGCAUAAAAAACAGGAUAAGCAUCACUACUGGCUGAAGCGACAGAUGCAGAGCCUCUUGGUGGAUGUCAACCGCAUUCGCAAUCUUGCCACCAAGAAUGCUUUUGUCACACAUGAGACCUGUAGGAGGUCAUGGAAGAGUCUGACAUUGCUCAGUGCUAAAGCUGAUCUUCAAGACGAUGGCUUCACUGAAAGAUUCAAGUUUGAUUCCACUCCUCCCAAGAAUGUUGUCUUGCGUCGGACUCCCUCACUUGAAGACUCUGACUAUUCCUCCUCAGCUGCAACUGUUAAUGCUAGAGUCAUUGAUGACCAAGAUGAUGCUACUUCACCACCUCCAACUUCGACGCGUAUCGACACUGCACCAAGUUCUUCUGCACCACCAAACCUCAACGACGACCCUGCUGCUUCAUCUACUCCUCAUGGGAACGAGUAGAGGCUCUAUGUCUUCAAACCUUUUUGGUCCUUACUGACAAAAGGGGGAGAAGCAUAUGAGUUGAUAGUCUUCAAGCGGGUCCAUAUGGGUGGUUGCUUUAUAUUUUGCCAAGUGCUUACAACUCUCGCUCUUGAUACUUUUGGUUCUUUGAGUUGUAACACUUAAACUUGAUGGUCGUCUGCUACUUUUUCUGCUAUUCUGUGAUGCGAUGAUAAAUUCCGCAUAUGCGAUGAUAAAUCCCGCACGAAGUCAUAUUGCAGACAUCCAUUUUUCAUUAUGCAUGUCAUUAUCUUCGUUAUAUCUUUUCAUGCAUGAUGAAUUGCCUUCACAAGUUGAAGAGGAUCUCCACAAGUACAACCUGCCAUGUGCAUUUGCAUUCCAAAAGCAAAAUACUAAUAUGCACAUCUUCAGGGGGAGCCUUUUGCUACUUAUGAAGACAAUAUCUUAAUCCUUUACAAUUUCACAUAAUUUUAUCCCCGUUGAAAACUUCAACCAGUUUGUCAUCAAUUACCAAAAAGGGGGAGAUUGUAAGUGCAUCUAGUGCCACCCCUAGUUGGUUUUGGAGUAUUGACGACAAACCUGGUUGAGGGACUAAUGUGUUUGUGAGAAUUGCAGGAUAACACAGGUAGUAGUCCCUCAUUGAUUCGGUUUACCUACCGGAGAUGACCCCUAAAAAUGUGUGAAGACAUUGAAGACAAUGGUGGUAUGUGAAGAUAUUCACAUUGAAGACUAUGACAUGAGAAGACAUCGCAUGAAGACUUUGGAGCGCGAAGACAUAGUUGUUUCGUAGUUUCAUUUUCUUCUUUGUUGAGUCAUAGGAACCACCGUACUGUUAAGUGGGGUCCAAGUGAACAAAGUCAGAGUGACUAAAGUGAUGCUCAACCAAAUCCUAUGUCUUCGAAUGAAGACAAUCAGAGCAAAUCUUAUCCAGAGCUGGAUGAGUCAGCUUUACUUGUAGCCCAAGUCAAGCUGUCGCGUGUGUUUGAAAUUUGACCGUUGGAACACGUGUCAGUUCCUUAGUGACCCAGGGUCAUUUCGGACAAUCAGGUCGGGUUGCCCUAGUGGCUAUAAAUAGCCCACCCCCUACACCAUAAAUUGGUGGCUGCUCAGAGUUAGUGCAUGACUUUUGUCGUUUGAGAGCAACCCACCUCCGAAGCUUUUGAGAGAGAGAAAUCCUUGCGAGGACAAAGCCCAAACACCCAGAGCCAAAGAGUGUUAGGCAUCACUGAAGUCUUUCUGUCCGCGUGACCUGAAGACUUGUUACACUUGAGGACUGUGAAUCCUCCAGCCGGUUAGGCGUCGCGUUCUGAGCAUCCAAGAGUCAUUGUGGAUCGCCGGUGAACGAAGUCUGUGAAGGUUUGGAAGUCUACCUUGAAGACUUACCAGAGUGAUUGGGCGAGGACUGGGUGUCCUUAGCUCAAGGGGAAUAAGGUGAAGACACGGUCUUCGGAGUUAAAUCUCAGCCUCCCUAACCAGACGUACAGUUGUCACAGCAACUGGAACUGAUCCAACAAAUCCUUGUCCUCAUCAAGCGUCUGGUUCUAUCUCCUCCCUCUCUUUAUUUACAGUUUGUCUUCGUGAAGUCAUUGCCUGCUUGUGUCACCUGUUUGACUUCACCGUGUGACUUCUAUUGUUGUUUGGCUUCACACUAUCUUCCAUCCUGAUCUUUACUACCUAGAUGUUAUUAGUCUUCGUGCUUUCACUUCAUUGAAUACUUGACUAUGGCCUGCCUAGUGUAGUCUAUCUUCCGCUGCAUGUUAAUAGGUUCAUUUCUAUCGUUUGUCUUCGAACUCCCAUGUUUUGAAGACUUUCAUAAAAAUCGCCUAUUCAACCCCCCCUUCUAGUCGAUAACUAGCACUUUCAGUGACCUUUCGUAUACCCAUCGUGCGUUGUGCGGCACGUCGUGGCGAGGCGAGACGUGGCAUGGCGAGGCGGGUGGCGGAGGAGGAGCUCACGUGGAUGUCCCUCUUGUUCUGAUGCUCAUACAUGUGGGGAAAGAACCUUCCUUAUAAAGAGGUCCAACUCUCUCUAAACUAGCAAUGUGGGACUAAACUUUAGUUCCACCUCUUGCCUUGCACGAAUGGGCUGCGUGGGCCUCUAGGAUUUAUUAGGAAUUUUUUAAACUACUAUUGGGAUGGCCCAAAAUAGAAAAAAUUCCAACACAUCCCACACUUGGACAAUGGAGGCAUCCUAUUGUUCACAGAUCGCAAAAAGGUCCCAGAACCUAGUAUUAAGAGAGCAUUCCCCUAACCAAGUACCAUACCAGAAAGACACAUUCUCCCCAUUCCUAGGAACCCAUUGUAAAAAACUUUGGCAACAGCAAAAGCCCAAGCAAUAGUUUUUCAGAAUGGACAUACAUUCCUAGUUCUAGCCCACAAAAUGUUUGGUUUAUCAACGGUAUAUUUGAAGCACAUGAGUUUUUUCCAAUCACUAUUCCUAUCAUCAAAAAAUCUCUUCUCCAAGAAGCCAACAAAGCCAUAUUAAAAUCUCUAAGGUUGGGAACACCCAGCCCACCAAACUACUUUCUCCAAGAGAUAAGCCCACAUUUAGCCAAAUGAUAUUUGUGUUCAUCUCUCNNNNNNNNNNNNNNNNNNNNNNNNNNNNNNNNNNNNNNNNNNNNNNNNNNNNNNNNNNNNNNNNNNNNNNNNNNNNNNNNNNNNNNNNNNNNNNNNNNNNNNNNNNNNNNNNNNNNNNNNNNNNNNNNNNNNNNNNNNNNNNNNNNNNNNNNNNNNNNNNNNNNNNNNNNNNNNNNNNNNNNNNNNNNNNNNNNNNNNNNNNNNNNNNNNNNNNNNNNNNNNNNNNACAUUUGAGAGGUGAUGGCAUCAAUUGCCCGUGUAGAGAAUUUCAUCAUAAACAUCAAAUAAGUAGGAAUACUAGCAAUACAAGUAGUAAGUAGAAUAAGCUUGCCCGUAUAAGGCAAGAUUCUCCCCAACCACCCUGCAGUAUUCUUAAUAAUUCUAUCAAUGCUAGGUUGGAGGUCCUCCCUCCUAAGUUUUUUAUAGUGCAGAGGAACUCCCAAAUAUCUAAAGGAGAAAUCCCCAUCUGAUAGCGAAAAAUUGGUGGAAAUUCUCCAGACACUACUUCAUUAACAUGGAUAGUAUGAGGAUCACUUCUAUGAAAAAUAUUUUUUUAACCAGAAAGUUUCUCAAGGCAAGCCAAGAUCCAUUUCAAAUUUCUAGCAUGCUCCACAAAUGCAUCUAGAAAAAGAAUAGUGUCAUCAACAUAUUGUAAACUGACUACACCCCGAAGAAUCACAUGUGCCAAAAGCCCAGCGAUCAUAUUAUGAUUAACAACUUUCAUAAGCACCUUAGAGAAUACAUCAACCACCAAAUUAAAAAGUAGAGGGGGGAAGGGGUCACCCUGCUUCAACCCCUUCCCCCAACAAAGUGGGGCCCAUUUUCUUAUUUGUUUUGCAAGAAACUUUCAAUCUAUUCAUCUUCAAUCAUGGUAGUACAACGAAUACCAGAAAUAAAAAUUACGUCCAGAUCCUGGACCACCUAGCAACGCCUACAAGCACUGAAGCGAGCGAAAGACGCGUCGCCAUCAUCGCCCCCCAUCGCCGGAGUAGAGCACAACUUGUUGCAGUAGACAGUCGGGAAGUCGUCGUGCUAAGGCCCCAUAGGACCAGCACUCCAGAACAGCAACCGCCGCCGAUGAAAAAUAAUGUUGAUCGAAAGGAUCCAAACCGAAGACACACGAACGUAGACGAACAACGAUGAGAUCCGAGAAAAUCCACCAAAGAUAGACCUGCCGAAGACACACCUCCACAUGCGCACCAACGAUGCUAGAUGCACCGCCGGAAUAGGGGCUAGGCGGGGAGACCUUUAUUCCAUAUUCAGGGAGCCGCCGCCGUCUCGCCUUCCUGAGCAGGACACAAGCCCUAGCAAGAUUGAAAAAAAGGACUAAAAACGGAGCCCUCGCGCCGGCCCUUGCCAGGAUCCACCAUGCCUCCAUGGCCCUAGGGCCACCGAAGACGAGGCGGACCUGCGCCGACGCCGGCGAGAGGCACGAACCCUAACUUUCUUUCUUGGAGGAGGAGGCUGCUAGCACGGUCGCAUCUUUGUUAAAGUGGGGCCCAUUAAUAUCAUUAAUCCUAACGCAAAAGAAACCUUGGUGUAGAGAACUACACACCAACCAAUCCAUUUACUGCCAAAUCCUCUAACUUGAGCAUCUCCACAAGGAAAUCCCAACUAACCCUAUCAUAAGCCUUUUUCAUAAUCUAGCUUCAAAACUAAACCACUAGUCCUAGUUCUAUGGAUCUCAUGAACCACUUCAUGAGCCAUAACCGCAUUUCCAAAAUGAAACUACCCUUAAUAAAAACAGUCUAAUUUUGAGAAAUAAGUAUAUCACAUAGGAGAAGCUCUAAUUGUCAUACAUUUAGAAAAAAAAUCUUAGUAGCAUAAUUACUCAGGCUGGUAGGCUUGAAGUUCUCCAUAUCCUUAGCAUUAGGCACUUUAGAGCAUCUCCAACCGCGCCCCCAACAGGCCCUACUCAGGCGUUUUUUCCACGCCGGCGCUCAAAAAUCGGCCUAGUCGCGCCCCCGGAGCCCGUUUUUCGCCGGCUUGGGCCGAAAUCGGUGCCAGCGGCCCCAGGCCGAACCCGGCGUGCUGGGGGGCGCCCGGGGGUGCCGGGGCGAGCGGUUUUGGCGUGAAAGCGUCGCGGGCCAGCCGAGUCAGCGUCAUGCGCCUCAUCUUCCCUAGAACGCCUCGGUUUCCCGCGGGGAAUCAAUGGCAAGGCUGCCGCCAGUUAGCCUUGCCAUUGAUUCCUCACGGGCGACGCGUCACGGGCUGGCGGGCGCGGCGACGCCUCCCCUUUCGCCACGCGUUCACACAGCCUGGGGCUAUAAAACCAGAGGCUUUCCCUCGCCGCUGGCCACACCAGCCCGAGCCACCGUCCCUCCUCAUGUCCGCUGCCGAGCUCUACCGCUCUCCCCUUCCCUCCCCUUCCCCUUUCCCUCUCCAUGGUCGAACGCUUCCCCGGCGACGCCGCGGCGGCCAACGGCUUCGGCCGCCGCUCGCUCCAGGAGUGGGAGGCGUGGCUCCUGUUCGAGGCCAACAUCCCGGCGUUGCCCGACAUGCGCGCCGGGCCGACGGGGUGGAAGCUCAACAACGGGGGCGUCCCCAUCCCCCCGGUGCCCGACGCCGACGCGCGCCCCGGCAUCUUCGUCGCUGAGGUCGACCGCGUGCGUUCGUCCCUGACGGACGAGCAGCGCGCCCUCCCCCAGUACGCCGCCGACAACCGUGCGGCGUGGGUGGACUACUUCCAGCGUCGGCAGGCGCAGCGGCUGGCGUCCACCAACGGGGCGCCGGUGCUGGGCGGCAUCAAGAACAACGACAGCCGCCGCGUCUGGUGGGGCGUUGCUACCUCUUGAGCACUGCGUUGGUUUUCCCUUGAAGAGGAAAGGGUGAUGCAGUAAAGCAGCGUAAGUAUUUCCCUCUGUUUUUGAGAACCAAGGUAUCAAUCCAGUAGGAGGCCACGCACGAGUCCCUCGCACCUACACAAACAAAUAAAAUCCUCGCAACCAACGCAAUAAAGUGGUUGUCAAUCCCUUCACGGUCACUUACGAAAGUGAGAUCUGAUAGGUAUGAUAAGAUAAUACUUUUGGUAUUUUUAUGAUAAAGAGAAAUAAAGAUGCAAAGUAAAAUAAAAGGGCAAUAGAAAUAGCUAAGUAUUGGAAGAUUAAAUAUGAUGGAAAAUAGACCCGGGGGCCAUAGGUUUCACUAGUGGCUUCUCUCGAGAGCAUAAGUAUCACGGUGGGUAAACAAAUUACUGUUGAGCAAUUGACAGAAUUGAGCAUAGUUAUGAGAAUAUCUAGGUAUGAUCAUGUAUAUAGGCAUCACGUCCGCGACAAGUAGACCGACUCCUGCCUGCAUCUACUACUAUUACUCCACACAACGACCGCUAUCCAGCAUGCAUCUAGAGUAUUAAGUUCAAAAGAACAGAGUAACGCUUUAAGUAAGAUGACAUGAUGUAGAGGGAUAAACUCAUGCAAUAUGAUAUAAACCCCAUCUUAUUAUCCUCGAUGGCAACAAUACAAUAUGUGCCUUGCUGCCCCUACUGUCACUGGGAAAGGACACCGCAAGAUUGAACCCAAAGCUAAGCACUUCUCCCAUUGCAAGAAAGAUCAAUCUAGUAGGCCAAACCAAACUGAUAAUUCGAAGAGACUUGCAAAGAUAACCAAUCAUGCAUAAAAGAAUUCAGAGAAGAUUCGAAUAUUGUUCAUAGAUAAACUUGAUCAUAAACCCACAAUUCAUCGGUCUCAACAAACACACCGCAAGAAAAGAUUACAUCGAAUAGAUCUCCACGAGAGAGGGGGAGAACAUUGUAUUGAGAUCCAAAAAGAGAGAAGAAGCCAUCUAGCUAAUAACUAUGGACCCGAAGGUCUGAGGUAAACUACUCACACAUCAUCGGAGAGGCUAUGGUGUUGAUGUAGAAGCCCUCCAUGAUCAAUGCCCCCUCCGGCGGAGCUCCGGAAAAGGCCCCAAGGUGGGAUCUCACGGGUACAGAAGGUUGCGGUGGUGGAAUUAGGUUUUUGGCUCUGUAUCUGGUAGUUUGGGGGUACGUAGGUAUAUAUAGGAGGAAGAAGUACGUCGGUGGAGCAACAUGGGCCCCACGAGGGUGGAGGGCGCGCCCAGGGGGGUAGGCGCGCCCUCCUACCUCGUGCCUUCCUGGUAGUUUUCUUGACAUAGGGUCCAAGUCCUCUGGAUCACGUUCAUUCCGAAAAUCACGUUCCCGAAGGUUUCAUUCCGUUUAGACUCCGUUUGAUAUUCUUUUUCUGCGAAACUCUGAAAUAGGCAAAAAACAACAAUUCUGGGCUGGGCCUCGGUUAAUAGGUUAGUCCCAAAAAAUAAUAUAAAAGUGUAUAAUAAAGCCCAUUAAUGUCCAAAACAGAAUAUAAUAUAGCAUGGAACAAUCAAAAAUUAUAGAUACGUUGGAGACGUAUCAGGCGUCCCCGGCCGCACACUCCACGAGGUGCUGGCGUACCUCGAGGGCGGCAGUGACCUGCCGCUCGCAGACCCUGCCGCCGCGGCGGCGGCGCCCCCCCCCCUCGCCGAAGCGCUGGGCCCUGGGCGCCCAGGAGGUUCGGCUCCUCCUCUUCCUCCCGCUCCUCCUCCCACUCUUCCGGCUCGCCGGCGCUGUUCCGCAUCAAGGCCGAGCCCGCCGCGGAGACGCCGCUCGGCUGGCGCACCCGCAGCGUCGGCAUCGUCAUCAACGAGGGUGCCAACCGCGCCCCCUCCUCGGCUCCUCCGUGCUAUGUCAAGCCAAAAACGGAGCCGGGGCUCGUCGCCGUCAAGACGGAGCCGGGGCUCCCCGUCGUGAAGACGGAGCCCGGGCUCGCCGGCGGCGUCCAGGAGGAGGAGCUCGACGACGCGGCGGCCCUGAAGUGGGCGCGCGACGACUGGGCGCAGACGGAGCUGCAGCGCGAGCACCUCGCCUUCGAAGCUCGGCGCCGGGGCCGGGACGAGGGAGGCGUGGUCGUCCUCGACGACAGCGACAACGACAACGUGCCGCCGCCACCGGUCCGCCAUAGAGACACCGGGCAGGAGUCCAACAGGGGCGGCCGCGCUAUCAAGGAGGAGGCCGCCGACGACGACAAGGACGACGGCGACGUAGGCGACUUCGCCGUGCUCAGCGACUUCUUCGCCCCGUAGUUGUUUUUUUAAUAACUUAUGUAACGCCAAACAUGUCCAAUAUUUAUGUCAAGUUUGCCGAAUUUAGCUGAACUUUGCCGAAUUUGGUUUUUUUCAAAAUAAAAACCCGCGUCUAGGGGGCGACCCUGGGGCGAGCGGCUGGGAACCCGCUCGCCCCCGCGCCGAUUUUAGCGUCGGCUCGCCCCAGAGGGCGCUUAAAAUCGCCGCCUGGGGGCCCAACGGCUAGAGAUGCUCUUAGGGAUCCGAGUAAUAAUAGCAAAAUUCAGACGAUAAACAUUCAGAAUGCCAUUUUCAAAGUCCCUAACUAACCACAUAAAGCCAUUUUUUACUAGAUCCCAAAAGGUUUGAUAAAAAAAUGAAAGAAAGGCUGUCAGGGCCAGGUGCACCACCAACAUAUGGACUCAUAAUAGCGGCUUUAUUUCUUCCCCAGAAAAUGAUCUUUCCAGCAGAGCAUUUUCUUCUGCAGUCACUAACUCAUUAUCAGCCCAAAAAUCUGGACCCAAAUGAAUUCAAACGAGAACAAAUUUUGGCAAAAGGAAGUAGCUACCUCCAACAUGUCAGUGGUAGAGGUAACAUUACCAUCAGUCCCAUUAAGUUCAGACAUGUCAUUCGCACUCAGUGCACAAUCUGCCGUCACGAUGGAACCCCUCCAAAUCUCCAAUACCCAGUGAGUGCGCUGAUUGUGGGAACGGAGCAGCAUCAGACACCCCGGUGAGAGCUUUGAUGGGAAGAUUUGUGUGCUGGAGGUGGAGGUGGGUCAUAGGAAGGGUUUACCGCAGGCUUCACAAACGAUAGGGAAGAUGGACCCCUGAGCUCCACGAUAGAGCCGCAGGUAUUUUCGUGCUCAACACAGUAGUUCUGAAAUUAAUGGUGCAAAUCUGAAUAAUCUUAUUUUGUAUGUGUGUGGUUGAUUGCACAUAAUAUGUGGUGCAAAUCUGAACAAUUUCUGGUUGUAAUUACAAGAGUACAGUACAGGGACACAUCAUUUGAUUGUGAGCUGAAUGAUUCGGUAUGCACCUAUUGUUGUGCCCCUAGAUAAAUUAUUACACCAUAAAUUGUUAACUGAAAUGAUAGACUGUCUAUGUUGCCAAAUUCAUGUGAUUGCUUGUAAUUAUGAGACCACAUACUUGGUAAUUUAUUAGAUGUUGUACAGAAUGUCAGGAAUUGGAUGAUAUGGCCAGUAGACCACAUAUCGAUAGGUCAUGGAAAAAUUGGUUGGAGCAGAAAAUGUGACUUGUAAGAUAGAAUGCGACUGUGAAUAUUGAGGUUGCAGUGCAUUCUGUUCAUGAAGUAGAGUUAGCAAGCCUUAUGGAAACUGUGGGCAUUAACAAACUUGUAUAAAUUAUCGAUCAAUACGGGAAUGGGAGAAAUUAAUGAAUAUAAGUCAAUGAAAUGAGUUCAAGAAAGUAUAGUAACUUAUUUUUACAUACUCUUGUGCGCAUCUGUGCAUUGCUUGCAGAGUGCGGAUCGGUAGAACAGGAAAUACUUUUCUGGUCUGUGGCAAACUGUCGCAGUUAACGCUCGGAGGAGGUUGGUUGUGCAGGCGUUGUUUCGUUCAUGAUGCCCCAAGAUUCUCUUCUUCCACUGCACGUAACAGGGGAGCUUGCAGCGUGUCGGGUAGUGGGGAAGAGCGGACGCAGAUGGAGUUCUUGAUGCAACCAAUUAAUAGGUAAGUCGUGGAAUCUAUCUUUUUGCAUCGAGUUUCUAAGAUCGAUCUGCCUUGUGUUCAACUAUUGUGCGAAAUUCAUUCUACUGGAGGAGGUCAGUGACAGUGAUGUCCUGAUGGAGCCGCUCCAUCAACCUGUGCCGCAGCCGUAGGUAAGGUGGAGCAAGCAUCGGUGCGUCAUUAACUCAUUACCCUGUGAUCGCGUCCACGAGAGAGUUGGAGCAAGCGACAGCGGCGGCCCUGAGUGCGGACAUGCAGAUCUGUGAGGCGGAAGCGGUGGUGGCUGCACAAAGGGAUAGCUCACCGCAAGCGCCCGAACAAUUAAUCCGGCAAGCACCUGGAUAGAAGCGCAGGUGUGUUUCUGCUUGCAUAUUAUUUGUGUCUGUCAGAUGUUUGUUUUUUUAGCAUGGGCUUGGUUGAUAAAAGACUGUCAAGGGCUCAAGGCUAGUAAAUUUGUGCAGCUAAUUCUAAUUUUAUGCAUGGUUGAGCUCAUGCGUGACAGCAAGUGUUAAAAGAGAUUUGCUCCCACAAGUUGGUUCAAAUUUAUGACUACAAACAGUGUAUAUGACCCUAUUUUAUCAUGAUGUAUGUUGUUUGGUGACUUAAUUUUAGGCAACACAUAGUCUUGAUAUGGAUCCAAUUUUUUUGACAUCAUACCAGGAGAGUUGUAGUUAGUUAGUACUCCCUCCAUUUCAAUGAAUAAGUGUGCACACAUUUCAAAAUUUAGUCGCUGAUAGCAUGUGAAGCCCGAUUCAAGUAUAUGGACAAUAUCAAUUUAUUUAUGGUGCUUAUGAAUAUGUACAUGCAUAUCAUGGACCUGAUACAUUUGAAUAUGUUCAUGCAUAUUGUGGAGCUGGUUGGACUAGGUGACACUAGUGUUGAGGCUUACUACCGUCUCAUUGCUUUGUUCAAGUACUGCAUGGUGUAAAAUGCAACCAUUCACAGAUGCUGGAGAUGGGCUAUGUUUGGAGGAUAGGAUUGCUCAAAAUGGAGUUUUUAUCAAACAUAUAUAUGGAGGUGAAAGGAGGUGUUGCGCAAAUCGUGCGACUGAUGUACUGCAUGAUGCAAUCAGUGGCAACAAUAAUUUAACUAAUGUGCCAGGCAAUGAUAGGUUUAUUGGCUCCUGCUAAGAGCAAGGAGAUGGGUCGACCAACGACGAGCAGGGGUUGAAGAGAAACAGAUUUUGCACCAUUUGUCGGUGGCAAGGUCACAAGAGGACACGAGAGAAACAGAUUUCGGCAAUGUUCCAAAGCAGCAUCAGAAACCUGCAAGAACAAUGGAGUUGAGGGACUCCGUCCAAAGAAUUGUACCAGGUCUGCCGAAUUAAGGUUGACGGGAGAAAACAUAAUUUUGAUGCCAAGAGGAGCUUAGUUUAUCUGUUACAGAUUUUGCGAGGGUGUUUGUAUUGUUGUUUUAGGUUGCUACAGAGAGUGCUUAGUUUAUGUGCUUAAUGACCAGUCAUUAAUUGUUGUUUGUGAAAUGACAAGAUCAGGACUAAAAUUCAAUGUUUCUGUGUUAUACCUUUACUUUGUGAUUUCUGUACUGAUCUAAUCAAGCCAAAUGUUUGGUGUUCUGACAUGGGCUGUAGCAUUUAAGAGUACAGAUAUGGAGUGUAUGUCAGUUAAAUGGUUUCUACAAAAUGUCUGUCUGGGAAUUUGUCAAAUAAUGAAGUUUUGAAAUGGUUGUUGCACUCCUGGGAACAGACUCAACUGUUGAGUGCUGAUGGCUGAUUAGUGUUCGCAUUUAAAGCAAACUUGUACUGCUCAUAGGUUCAAACGAGGUCGAGCGUUUUGAAAUUUGAAGUUGACUGUUGUCCCAUGGCUCACCACGCACUGGUCUGGGUUCCAAUUUUCCCAACCAAUCUUCUCUUGCUGCUUGCUGUUGCAUUCUUGAUGAUUUUUUAAUUUACUCCAGUCUCCAGUUUGCUAAUCAGUUUGCUCAUUCUGCUUGGCUGGGUGGGGUGGCUUUUGCAUUAAUGGGACGGCCAUAGCAGUACGGGAGACAGCCUAGAACGUCAAUUGGAUUCUAGACCUUUUUUUGACGUGAAUGGGAUUCUGUACCUGAGGUAAACCUAACGGCAAAGGCUGCAAUGAUUAUCUGACCGAUGUGGGCCAUAUGGACUGUGCAAAUCAAUAUACUGCGCAACAUACGUCCAGAAAUACGAGGACCAGACCGAACUUGGAACGAACGGACAUCUGAGAUAUCAUGUGCAUUUGUGCACGGGCUCACAUGGGCACUUUCCGGUCUUACGAUCCUAUAUGAAUCAAAUAAUCAACAUAAGAACAAUUCUUAAAGAGUUCCUAAAAAAAGAACAAUUUUUAUGAAGUCUAAUCUAUCUAUACCUACUAAUAAAAGAAAUAGGUAUUCUUAAUCCGUUUUGCUAUUUUAUAGAAAACCUCCUAAUGUUUCUGACAUUAAACCCACAUACAUAUCAAAUGUUUUUUAAAAUAUCCAUAUCUUCUAAACCGUAGCUCCAAAUUUAACAUGUUAUUAUGGAAUUUGAUUAGAAAAAUAUCUAGAAUCUGAAUAUGAUAUUAUUUUACCUGUUAACAAUUAAAAAACUAUUUAGGCUGCAAUGUUAAUCAACAAUGCAUUUUAUCCGUCUUUUUUUCAUACCGGUACUGAUUCAGAUUGGGGAUGAACACCACAAAAAAUAAAAUAAAAGACAAGUUUGAUAAGAUAUAAAUAGUGAUGAAACAUGAACCAAUACCUAUGACAUAUAUGGCAAGAAAUAGUGAUGAAAUAGGGGCAAGUACCUGCGUCCACAGGAGUCCGUAUAAAAAUGUUCUUUUCCAUAAAAAAUAAUCUAUUUUUAUGAUUAAAAACCAUGUAUCUUUUUAACAACCUUUUUAACAUCUCUUCAUGUAUUUAAGAAAUAUGCAUGUGAAAAGAAAGUGUUCAAGAGUUAUCCUAAGUUGGUGAUUCUUAAACUCAAAACUGCUAUUGAUGCACACAUGUCUCCGUAGUGUGCUAAUUGGUGAUUCUUAAACUCAAAACUGCUAUUGAUGCACACGUCUCCGUAGUGUGCUAAUGUGUUAUCGUUUGUUUUUGUCAUUUUUCUUUACUUGCCCGUAACAACCCCCUAUUACGGACACCCCUAUUCCGAACAUGACAUAAAUAAAUGCAUGAUCACUUGCCUGUUUUUUUAUACGGAUUAAAUCUACAUGCAAGCCGUGUUGAAAUAAAACACCUAUAGAAUCUUAAACUGCGGUUUUAUAGGUUAAGACCAUCUUUGUUUGGGCCAUAGCUACAAAUUCUCAAAUUAUAGACCAUUUUUUGUAAAUUAAGAGUGGUAUUUUGUUUCUCCCAUUGCAACUCACGUGCCUUUUUGCUAGUAAUCCUUUAAAAAUCCUUUGAAUCAAAGGAGACCUGAGAAUGCUUGCCGAUUCACCUGAACUUGCAUGUAACAUCUGGGCAAAACAAAACAUCGAGAAGAACUGCACGAGGUUAUUACGAGUUUGCUCAGAAAAAAUAAUAUUAGUGCAAGUUUAACCAAAAGACCUUCACCACUCAAAUACAUCCUGUUUUUUUCGCAAACCUAGAAUGGCGCAAUGAAACAUCGAGCGUCCCGACGGAACCAACACCCCAUGACGACUUGAGUAGCAACUGUUACUGUAUUCUGACGACACAACACUCUAGACAAAAGCUCGCCUCAUAUUACCAGUUCACCUCAUCUCUUA